UUACUUGAUAGAAUUGGAAUCUUCUUGAAACUUGAAGUGAACAUAGUAUUUGGCUCUGUACAAAUAUGAUCCAAAUGCAUAUCAUAUCAUCUAGUAUAUUAUAUAAUAUAUAUAUACUAUAUAAUAUAAGAAUAAGAAAUAGAAUAUACUAUUCUAAUAUAAUAGAUAAAUAUAAUAGAUAAAAGAAUAUUAAGAAUUAUAUUCUAAUAUCUAAUAGAUUAGAAUCCUAUUUUCUCAUAUUUGUUUUGUGUGGACAUAUACACGCGUAUCAGGAAGGAAUAAAAUGCGGAUAUGGUCGAAUGGUAAAAUUUCUCUUUGCCAAGGAGAAGAUGCGGGUUCGAUUCCCGCUAUCCGCCCGUGUUGAAAUAAAAAUAUAAAAAUAAUGGAAUGCAAGAAAUGAUACGGUAUAGUUAGCAUAUCCAAUACGGUAUAGUGUUUAUACCUUCCCUCCAUCCCCAAAGAAAAAAUGUUCAUUAAUUACUAGGUGUCAAAUUUAGGUGACAAAGUAAUACCCAAAAAGAAAUUUUUUACAAAAAAAAAAGAUCUUGCGGAGACAGGAUUUGAACCCGUGACCUCAAGGUUAUGAGCCUUGCGAGCUACCAAACUGCUCUACCCCGCGCUAAAAAACUGGGUACUACUGAUGUACGAACAGGGAUUGGAUGUGCCCCCUCCCAUAUCUAUAUAAAUAGUAUAGCCCAUUUAUACAGAAUGGUAAAGGGACUCAGCCCUUCUAUGAUCAUAGAGAUUCAUAGAAAUUUGAAGGAUUCUUUUUUUUUUUUUCCUUACCAGCUCGAUCUUGUUGCCCCCGGCAACAAACAUGCAUGAACCAUCUCGCGGAGUACGUGUCCGGAUAGCCCAAAGUCUCGAUAGUUAGCUCUAGGUCUUCCGGUCGAAAAACAACGUCGAUGAAGACGUAUAGGUGCACUAUUACGUGGUGGGGAUUGCAAUUUUCCAUGAAUUUUCCAUUUGUCACUCAACGAUGGAGUUUUGCUUAUUUCUUUUUUUAAGGAUCGACGAAUCAAAUGAUAUUUCUGUUCCAAUUUCUGCCUCUUCCUCUCCCUCUGAAUCAGACUUUUCCUUGCCAUAUGAAGUUCCUAUUAUUCCCAAUGAUACAAGUCGGAUCCUAGAUGUAGAAAUAUUAAGAAGGUGGAUCUCCCCUUCUCCGUCGAAACAAAUGAAAUUGUUGCUGAUACAGGAAGAUGCCACCUCUAUUUUUUUCAAAGAAUUAACCAAAUUUGCCCGAUGUAGAGGCAAUUAAGAAAGCUGCAUAAGUAAAUAUAUAACCUACAGAAAAGUGGGCUAAGCCAACCAGUCUUGCUUGAACAAUGGAAAGAGCCACAGGUUUAUCCCUCCAUCGAAUCAAAUUAGCCAAAGGUGUGCGUUCAUGAGCCCAUGCUAGAGUUUCAAUCAAUUCCUGCCAAUAUCCUCGCCAGGAAAUUAAAAACAUGAAUCCAGUAGCCCAAACCAGAUGCCCAAAUAGGAACAUCCACGCCCAGACAGAUAAACUAUUUGUACCGAAAGGGUUAUAUCCAUUGAUAAGUUGUGAAGAGUUUAACCAUAGAUAAUCUCUUAACCAUCCCAUCAAAUAAGUGGAAGAUUCAUUAAAUUGUGAAGGAUUACCCUGCCAUAAAGUGAUAUGCUUCCAAUGCCAAUAAAAAGUAACCCAUCCAAUGGUAUUUAACAUCCAGAAAACCGCCAAAUAAAAUGCAUCCCAAGCCGAAAUAUCACAAGUACCGCCUCGUCCUGGACCAUCGCAAGGGAAACUAUAACCAAAAUCUUUCUUAUCUGGCAUGAACUUGGAACCACGUGCAUCUAAAGCACCUUUUACUAAGAUCAAUGUAGUUGUAUGCAAACCUAGAGCAAUAGCAUGAUGAACCAAGAAGUCUCCAGGACCUAUUGUUAGGAAUAGUGAAUUACCAUUCUCAUUAAUAGCAUUCAACCAGCCAGGUAACCAUAAGCUUCGACCAGCAUUGAAUGCUGGGCCGUUCGUUGAAGAUAAGAGUACAUCAAAUCCAUAUGAAGUCUUACCAUGAGCGGAUUGUAUCCAUUGGGCAAAUAUAGGUUCGAUCAAGAUUUGUUUUUCUGGAGUACCAAAAGCAAGCAUGACGUCGUUAUGAACAUAGAGUCCCAAAGUAUGGAAACCCAGGAACAAGCUGGCCCAACUUAAAUGAGAUUUUAUAGCUUCUUUAUGGUCUAACAUUCUUGCCAAUACAUUAUCCUCGUUCUGUUCCGGAUUGUAAUCUCUAAUGAAGAAUAUAGCUCCAUGAGCAAAGGCCCCUGUCAUGAUGAAGCCUGCGAUGUAUUGGUGAUGAGUAUAUAACGCAGCUUGAGUAGUAAAGUCUUGUGCUAUGAAUGCAUAAGGAGGUAAAGAAUACAUGUGUUGAGCUACCAAGGAAGUAAUAACCCCCAAAGAGGCUAGAGCAAGACCUAAUUGAAAAUGAAUGGAAUUAUUGAUUGUGUCAUAAAGACCUUUAUGUGCCCGUCCCAAUCGACCCCCCGGAGGAGUAUGUGCUUCUAAAAGAUCUUUUAUACUAUGACCGAUCCCGAAGUUAGUUCUAUACAUAUGACCAGCAACGAGAAAAACAAAUGCAAUAGCUAAAUGAUGAUGAGCAAUAUCGGUCAGCCAUAAGCUUUGAGUUUGAGGAUGGAAUCCCCCGAGAAGGGUUAGAAUGGCAGUUCCCGCUCCUUGGGAGGUACCGAAUAAAUGACCACUGGAAUCGGGGUUUUGGGCAUAAAGAUUCCACUGUCCUGUAAAAAGUGGCCCCAAGCCUUGAGGAGAUGGUAAUACGUCUAGGAAAUUAUUCCAUCUGACGUAUUCCCCCCUGGAUCCGGGAAUAGCGACAUGAACUAAAUGUCCUGUCCAAGCCAAGGAACUUACUCCGAACAGUCCUGACAAAUGAUGAUUAAGACGAGAUUCAGCAUUUUUGAACCACGAAACGCUUGGCUUCCAUUUGGGUUGUAGAUGUAACCAACCCGCUAUUAAAGAUAUCGCAGAAAGAAAUAAUAGAAAAAGAGCUCCAGUAUAAAGAUCUUCAUUGGUGCGCAAGCCGAUUGUAUACCACCACUGAUAGAGACCGGAAUAAGCGAUAUUCACCGGACCGAGAGCACCCCCUCGAGUAAAGGCUUCUACAGCUGGUUGACCAAAAUGAGGAUCCCAAAUUGCAUGAGCAAUAGGUCUUACAUGUAAAGGGUCCUGUACCCAUGACUCAAAAUUUCCUUGCCAAGCCACAUGAAACAGAUUCCCGGAAGUCCACAGGAAGAUUAUUGCUAACUGCCCGAAGUGAGAAGCAAAAAUAUUCUGAUAAAGACCUUCCUCAGUGAUAUCAUCAUGACUCUCGAAGUCAUGUGCGGUGGCAAUACCAAACCAAAUACGACGAGUAGUGGGGUCCUGAGCUAAGCCUUGGCUAAACCUUGGAAAUCUUAAUGCCAUAAUGCCUUUCAAAUCCUCCUAGCCAUUAUCCUACUGCAAUAAUUCUUGCUAAGAAGAAUGCCCAUGUUGUGGCAAUUCCACCCAGAAGGUAAUGGGUUACUCCUACAGCACGUCCUUGGACAAUGCUCAAGGCUCUAGGCUGAGUAGCAGGAGCAACUUUUAAUUUGUUAUGAGCCCAAACGAUGGAUUCAAUAAGUUCUUGCCAAUAACCGCGGCCGCUGAAUAGAAACAUUAAACUGAAGGCCCAAACAAAAUGAGCACCUAGGAAAAACAGGCCAUAUGCGGAUAAUGAAGAACCAUAAGACUGGAUCACCUGAGAGGCCUGUGCCCAUAGAAAAUCCCGGAGCCAUCCGUUAAUAGUAAUGGAACUCUGCGCAAAGUUUCCUCCCGUGAUAUGAGUUACCACCCCUUGAUUGCUUAUACUACCCCAAACAUCCGACUGCAUUUUCCAACUGAAAUGGAAUAUUACUACCGAAAUCGCAUUGUACAUCCAGAAUAGACCUAAGAAGACAUGAUCCCAGGCGGAUACUUGACAUGUUCCCCCUCUUCCGGGUCCGUCACAAGGGAAACGAAAACCCAGAUUUGCUUUAUCAGGUAUCAAACGGGAGCUACGAGCAAAUAGAACGCCUUUCAGUAGUAUCAAUACGGUCACAUGGAUCGUAAAUGCAUGAAUGUGGUGUACCAAAAAAUCUGCGGUUCCUAGUGGAAUAGGUAACAAAGCUACUUUUCCACCUACUGCUACUAAAUCACCACCUCCCCAAGUCAAACUGGUACUUGUUGUUGCACCAGGAGCUGUUGCACCAGGUGCUAAAGCAUGAGUGUUUUGUAUCCAUUGAGCAAAGAUGGGUUGUAAUUGUAUAGCGGUAUCUGAAAACAUAUCUUGAGGACGCCCCAAAGCGCUCAUGGUAUCAUUAUGAAUAUACAGGCCAAAACUAUGAAAGCCUAGAAAUAUACAUGCCCAGUUGAGGUGUGAUAUGAUUGCAUCACGGUGCCUAAGGACACGAUCUAAAAGGUCGUUGUAUCGAGUAGUUGGGUCAUAGUCUCUUACCAUAAAAAUAGCUGCAUGUGCAGCAGCGCCAACUAUGAGAAAUCCACCGAUCCACAUGUGAUGUGUGAACAACGAGAGUUGUGUACCAUAGUCAAUAGCUAGGUAUGGAUAGGGGGGCAUAGAAUACAUAUGGUGAGCUACAACAAUGGUUAAAGAGCCUAACAUAGCUAGGUUAAGAGCUAAUUGAGCAUGCCAUGACGUUGUUAGGAUCUCAUAGAGACCUUUAUGACCCUCGCCUGUAAAUGGACCUUUAUGAGCCUCUAAAAUCUCUUUUAGGCCAUGACCAAUUCCCCAGUUGGUCCUAUACAUGUGACCAGCUAUCAGGAAAAUAAUUGCAAUAGCCAAAUGAUGGUGUGCAAUAUCGGUCAGCCAUAGACCCCCUGUUACUGGAUCUAAUCCUCCGCGAAAAGUAAGAAAUUCCGCGUAUUUUGACCAAUUCAAGGUAAAAAAUGGGGUUGAUCCCUCGGCAAAACUGGGAUAAAGUUGAGCCAAAAGAUCCCGAUUCAAGAUAAAUUCAUGAGGAAGUGGUAUCUCUUUAGGAUCCACUCCCGCGUCUAGAAAUUGGUUAAUGGGUAAAGAUACAUGUACUUGGUGUCCCGCCCAAGAAAGAGACCCAAGUCCUAGUAACCCUGCUAAGUGGUGGUUCAACAUGGAUUCUACAUCUUGGAACCAAGCCAAUUUUGGAGCAGCCUUGUGAUAAUGGAACCAACCGGCAAAAAGCAUUAACGCUGCAAAGACCAAAGCACCAAUUGCGGUACAAUAGAGUUGUAAUUCACUAGUUAUUCCAGAUGCUCGCCAAAUCUGAAAAAAACCAGAGGUUAUUUGUAUUCCUCGGAAACCUCCACCUACAUCGCCAUUCAGGAUUUCUUGACCAACUAUUGGCCAAACCACCUGGGCACUGGGUGCGAUGUGAGUAGGAUCGCUCAACCAUGCUUCAUAAUUGGAAAAACGGGCACCAUGGAAGUACAUACCACUCAACCAAAGAAAGAUGAUGGAUAGUUGACCGAAAUGAGCACUAAAUACUUUUCGAGAGAUUUCCUCCAAAUCACUGGUAUGGCUAUCGAAAUCGUGAGCAUCAGCAUGUAGGUUCCAGAUCCAAGUGGUAGUAUUGGGGCCUUUAGCUAUUGUCCUUGAGAAAUGGCCGGGUCUGGCCCAUUCCUCGAAAGAAGUUUUUAUGGGAUCCCUAUCCACCAUAAUCUUCACUUCUGAUUCCGGCGAACGAAUAAUCAUUGAGUCCUCCUCUUUCCGGACAACACAUACGAAGAGACCCGCCAAGAGUCAAGUAAUUAGUGAACCUUUGAGAGAUAGUAUGGUUUGUUCUUUUCUUUCCUAUCUCUCAUCUAUCUAUUUUCCUUAGUUAUUCUUAGUUAUUCACUAGAGCAAUUAUUAUAUGGAAGUCAAUCCGGGGCAAGUGUUCGGAUCUAUUAUGACAUAUCUAUUAGGUGCUCAACGGACCAUUCUAAUUUUUUCAAAUCUAUUCCCAGCAUGACACAAAACUGUUUUUUGUUUUGGUCCAACCUAAUUUAUUCAUAUCUUUAUGUAUGAGUGCCUAGAUAGAUCUAUCUCAUAUAUUACAUGGAACAUAUUACUCUAUUCCAAAUUACAGGAUCAUUCAUUAGUCAUUAUAUUAAUAAGAGACAUCCCGAUAUCCCUUUAAUACAUUCGAAGGUCUCUUUUAUUAACUUUAUUAGCAAUUGAUAGUAGAAAGUAAUAUUUUUUUUAUAGUUAUCGUCUAUCCCUAUGAGGUACCAUACAAAAUGGAACGAUCUUAGAAGGGAUAUAAUGAAAUUCCUUAAUUCAUUCUUCCGGUAAGGAUCGAUUUGAUGGAUCCAACAAACAAUGAAAAUCAAUUCAAAAAGAGAGUGUUCUUAUUCGAAGCGCCUCGUGAUCUUCAACCAAUUCUGUGCUUCAAUAUAAUUACCUGGAGUAAGCGCUAUAGCUUGUUUCCAAUACUCAGCUGCUUGAUCGGACCAAGUCUCUGCGAUUUCAGAAUCUCCCUGUCGAAUGGCCUGUUCUCCCCGGUCGGGAUAGGUGGAUCAAUUCCUUCCCUUAGAACCGUACUUGAGAGUUUCCUACCUCAUACGGCUCAGCAGUCAACUCUUUUGGCGUUCCGUCUUAAUCUACUGUAUCUAACUGAAUGAGAUUUCUCGUAAAUCCAUCCCAUUUUCCGGAAUUAACCAAAUAACCAGAAGAGGUUAAUUACAUGAUUUUCAAACUCAAAUUUCCAUCAAUCAAAUAAUCAGUUUUAUCUCUUCUCCCACCUUCAGAAGAAUGAAGCUGAAGCAUAGAUAUCUCCAUCUCCCCCUAUCGUUAGAAUUUUCUGAAAGGUAACUAUCUCAUUUUCGUUCGUAUAGAAAUUCAUUAUAGAAUCUUUGAAAAAUACCUUUCUCGAUAAUAAAGGACUUACUAUCUUUGGGAUCUGAUGCUACACCGCUGCUCAGCACCUUAGUGGAUCAACUCUAUUACAUAAGUUGAUUCCUAACUUUAUAUCUCAUAUCUUGACAUAAGUAAGCAGGUCUUAUUGUAUGGGCCCAAAACCUCAAUCAUUGAUCUUUACGGUGCUUCCUCUAUCAAUUAGAUCUUUUAUCCAUAGAAAUCAGUAUAUAGGCCAUAUCCAUUUCUUCAUAUCCCGGCUCCUAUGAAGUCUCUUUCUUUGCUACAGCUGAUAAAAACCGUUCCUUUGCACGAUGUAUAUGUAGAAGGCCUUUUUUGUUUUCUUUUGUUUGUUUCUCUUUCUAGUAUUUACUAGCGGAUUUUCUCUUUCUUUCCUUCUUUACUUUUUUAUUAUUCUUCUUUUUCUUAUUCUUUAUUAUUAUUAUUCUAUUCUCUUUCUAUUCUUCUUUCUAUUCUAUAGUAGAGAUAGUCGCACGUAAUGACAGAUCACGGCCAUAUUAUUAGAAGCUUGUGGUAAGAAUGGAUUUCGUUCUAGUGCCCGAAAAUAAUAUUCCAAAGCCUUCGUAUGUUCUCCGUUGCUUGUGUGGAUAAGUCCUAUAUUAUAGAGUAUAUAACUUCGAUCAUAGGGAUCAAUUUCUGGUCGCGUAGCUUCAUAAUAAUUCUGUAAAGCUUCCGCAUAAUUUCCUUCAGAUUGAGCUGACAUCCGUUACGGUCGUUCAUUCCAUUCAAAGGAUCUCCGUUCCAGAACCGUACGUGAGAUUUCCAUCUCAUACGGCUCCUCCCCUUCUGUGCAUAGUAAUAAGAGGAAUAAUCUAUGGAAUCAAAAAAGAUUAAAAUAUUCUCAUUAUGUUAUAAACUGACAGGGGCUGGUGUUUUUACAAGAAAUCUCUAGCCAGCCUUCCUGCAAGAGGCCCUUUCUGAAUGUCUUAAUACCAAGCGUCUUGGUCCUAGAUAAAAAUGGUAGCUUCCCCCAACAAUUUCUUUGUCCUCAACGCUCCAUAUUUCCAGGAAUUAGACACUUCAACGAUCUUCGAUGGUUAUACGGGUAUCCAAAGUACGAACGAGAUGGAUGUUUGUUGUCCCAACCAUUCUUGUUAGUCCCAAUCCCAAUAGAGCAAAAGGGAUAAUUUAUAACAAAGUUUUUAUGUUGUUGAUUUCUAGGUGUAGUGCUUCUUCCCCUAUGCCGCCUAUUGGUACUAGUACAGUAGGAUUGACCCGCAAUAGAGAACCUAUAGGUGUAACCUUUCGCUCAAUACUAGAAUCAACAAUUCAAGCAUCUGAGGCUGCAUCAAUCGUGGAUACACGACAGAAGGUAUUGUUCUAUCUACGAACUUCACCUUCACCAAGCGUGGGUUUCUUUCAACAAUUUUUUCUUUCCAUCCGGAAUUUCUCGUAAGGAUGGGAGUGGUAAGUAAAAAAAGAAUCAAAUCGCACCAUCUCUGUAAUAGGUAAAUGCCUCUUUUUCUCCUGAAGUCGUCGGAAUGAUCCGUAAUAAGAUAUUGGCUACAAUUGAAGAGGUCUUAUCGAUAAAAUUGCCAUUUAUCCGAGAUCUAGGCAUAUUUAGCAAUCCACUUUACUUUAUAAUUAUUCUCAUUUCCCCUCGGGGAAACUGAUCCCACAAACAAAGGAAUUGUACAGUACGAAAUGACAUGACAUAAAAACAAACAAAUUUUCAAAUAAAACAAAACAAAAAAGGUGGACCUUUCACUCAAAUGGGUUCUUUUGAACAAGGAUAGAUAGGAAAUCUUCGACUCAGAUUGGAUUGAAUUUCAAUAUUCAAAUUGAACAAUAUUCAAAUUUCAUUCAAUCAAAUUGAGUAGUAUAUCAUACUCUAUAUUUUUAUUUUAUUAUUUUUAUUUCAAUUUCAUCGAAGUUGAAGAAUCUAAAGAAUUUUCUCUGAUAGCUCGAGAAUUUUUUUUGAUCCAACCGGACCGGAAAAAAAUGUUUUUUAUCCCUUGAGCCUCGAAGGGAAGAUCUUUCCUUGACGAAAAUUUUUAUUUUCUAAUAAUUAGAAUAUUCUAAUUCUACUAAUAAAUUAGAAUAUUCUAAUUCUACUAAUAAGAAUAGAUUGGUCGGACUUGUACUGCAAGAGUGACUCGCAAUUCACUUGGUUCCUGGGCCAUAAUCAUAAGAUUUCGUAGGAGAGAUGGCCGAGUGGUUCAAGGCGUAGCAUUGGAACUGCUAUGUAGGCUUUUGUUUACCGAGGGUUCGAAUCCCUCUCUUUCCGUACCGUCACCUAAUUUACCAACGUUACCGACGGCAAUGUAUCAAAUGCCAGUCGAUAGCAUUAUUCCAACAAGUAAUACCUUUCCUUUAUAGAUAUAGAAAUUUUCCAUUCCUUACUUUUACUGCGGCCUGGCUGUGGUACGGAAAAGAAUGGGGAAAGAGCGGACAAGGAAUGAGUGAUCCAAUUAUGUCUUAUGUUAUAGGUGAAUAGGAGAAAAAUCUGGAUCAGACCCCUUAGCCUUAGAUAGAUCUUUUUUUUUUUCAUCGAAAAAAGAAAGUGGCAAAAUUGUCCGAAGCUUUCUUAUUUCUUAAUUUUAGGUUUAAGUCUGACGGGAAUAAUAUUCUACGACUAACAAUUCAUUGAUUUUCAAACCGAUCCAUUUACUAUCUAUUAUUUGAUUUACUAAUCCUUUAUACUGCAACGAGUAAAGAGUCAAAUGUUUUGGCAACUCCUCGUUGGGGGAUGAAUUCAUAUGAUUUUGAAUCAGAGCUCUGGAUCUUUCUUUCUCCCUCGUAGUAACAAAAUCUCCGGGUUUGCAGCGAUAACUUGGUAUAUCUACUAGACGACCAUUAACUAAAAUAUGUCUAUGGUUAACUAAUUGUCUGGCUCCAGGAAUGGUCGAAGCCAUACCCAAUCGAAAAAGAAUGUUAUCCAAACGCAUCUCGAGUAGUUGCAGUAAAACCUGUCCUGUUGACCCUUUGGCUUUUCCGGCGAUACGAACAUAUCUAAGUAAUUGUCUCUCCGUCAGACCAUAAUGAAAACGCAAUUUCUGUUUUUCUUCUAAACGAAUACGAUAUUGAGAUCUUUUUCCAGAACGGGAUUGGUUUCUAAGAUCACUUCCAGAUCUAGGUCUUUUACUAGUUAGUCCCGGUAAAGCCCCCAGACGGCGUAUUUUUUUGAAACGAGGUCCUCGGUAACGAGACAUAAAGACUCCUUAUUUUACAGAAUUAACAUGAACCUAAACUAAAACUGAACUCCACUAUAAACGAAUCUAAACCUACUGAAUUUGUAGUACUAUAAAGAAAAGAAAGAAAAAGAAAAGAAAGAGGAAUGAGAUGAAUUGUAUCAAUAUCCCGAUUUUUUUGUAGUAUAUGUAUAUAUGGGAAGGGAAGUAAGGAUCCUUUUCAUGAUUCGUUCCGUAGAGAUCCAACUGCUCCAAUCAGUUUUUUAUUCAUAGUUGGAAGUUUCCGCGGCAUAACAUAAUGGAUUGGUAACUCGGCGUUUGGAAGAAAAAGGAAGAGUCUUUUCAGUAUUUCUUGAUCUCAUCAGUCUUUCUUUAUCUCAAAAAAAGGUAAAUUAUGGAAAAAAAUUGAACAAAUAGAGAAAAGCCGGCUAUCGGAAUCGAACCGAUGACCAUCGCAUUACAAAUGCGAUGCUCUAACCCCUGAGCUAAGCGGGCUGGGCUCACAUAGAUAUCUAUCUAUAUCAUACUAGAUAGAUUCAGGAAGAUGCUGGGAUCAAUUAUAGCCGAUCGGACUUAAGGAUGCAAUCCAGAUCAUAAUGAUACGUUCCUACGGUUCCCUUCGUAAAGGGAGGAGAGGGGACGAAAAAAGGAAGAAUGAAUAUCGACCCUUACACUAUUACAGGUCGAGCGAGAGAAAUGAGAGGAGGAGAGGGAGAUACAUGCGAUAUGGAUAUUCUAUAUCCAUCUAUAUUGCUAUAUUGAAUUGGAGAUGCAUCAAUGAUAGAAUCAUUAAUCAUUUCUGAUUGAAUCAAAUACUGCUUCGAUAGAAAUGCAAGAAGAGGGAUAAAAAUAAGAAGAAAGAAAUAGGAGUAGACACUUUUCUUAUAUCGGAUAGUAUCUAAUGGAUGGGUCCAAUAGGAAUGAAAGGGGUUAAAUAGAAUUACAAUGAGACCCCGGUCUUACUCAAAAGGGGAUAUGGCGAAAUUGGUAGACGCUGCGGACUUAAUUGAAUUGAGCCUUGGUAUGGAAACCUACUAAGUGGUAGCUUCCAAAUUCAGAGAAACCCUGGAAUGAGAAAUGGGCAAUCCUGAGCCAAAUCCUGUUUAAAGAAAACAAGGGUUCCUAGAAAGCGGGAAGGAUAGGUGCAGAGACUCAACGGAAGCUGUUCCAACAAAUGGAGUUGACCUCGUCGGUAGAGGAAGAAAUCCAUAUAUAGGACUCCGGAAGGGAUGAUCCUAUGUAUUGGUAUUGAAUUGAAAUAUUCAACGAUUAAUUACGACCCGGAUCCUUUAUAUUACACAUUUCAAAAUUCUUGUGAAUCGAUCCCAAGUUGAAGGAAGAAAUAUUCAUUGAUCAAAUCAUUCACUCCAGAGUCUGAUAGAUUAUUUGAAAAAAUGAUUGAUCGGACUAGAAUAGAAUAAAGAUAGAGUCCCAUUCUACAUGUCAAUCCCGGCAACAAUGCAAUUUGUAGUAAGAGGAAAAUCCGUUGACUUUAUAAAUCGUGAGGGUUCAAGUCCCUCUAUCCCCAAUUAAAGAAAGGCCUGGUUUACUCCCUAAUCAUUCAUUCUCCUUUUUUCGUCAGCCUUUCUAAACUAAAACUCAAUUAGGUAUCUUUCUCGUUUACUCUACUGUUUCACAAAUAGAUCCGAGCAUAAAUUCUUCCUCUUACCACAAGUGUUGUUAUUGUGAUAAAUACAAUCUAUGUCCAAACGAACAUAUAUGGACAAGAAAUCCCCAUGAUUGAAUCAUUCACAGUACGUUAACCUUACAAAAAAAGGAAAGGGUCAAAUCCAAUUUCAAUUGCAGAUCCAGGUAAGAUUUUGUAAUAUUUAGAUUUAGUUUAGUUACUUUCAUUGACAUAGGUUUAGGUGCUCUAAUACAAUGAUACAAUGCAUAGGGUAUGGUCGGGAUAGCUCAGCUGGUAGAGCAGAGGACUGAAAAUCCUCGUGUCACCAGUUCAAAUCUGGUUCCUGGCAUGUGGUUAAUGUUCUGAUCCCUUUUCAUUUCUUUUCUUCAUUUUCUAUUUUCAUAUUCCUUCGCUCUAUCCUCCAUUGCUUUCUGGGGCCCAUCUAAUGCGACGGGCACAAUACAUAGUCAUGAUACAAAACAAGAACUCUUUUGAUUCAUCCUAUCGGCUCUGCUCAUCCUAAAUAGGUAUCUUCCAGAUAGAAUAGAGGAAGAGAAAUGAAGCUUUUUUUAUCCCAUCAUGAUACGAAUGAAAUGAGAGCCUAUAUUGUCCUGUUUCAUCUGAAACGUAAACAUUUUUUUUUGAAUAUCUGGGCCGUAGAAGCGGAGAUUAGUUUCUUAUCAUUCAAUGAGCAUCCUGUAUCUCAUAGAAAUUAGGGGCAAUAUAAUCCUUGCGUAGGGGCCAACCAAUCCAACUUUCAGGCAUCAAGAUACGUUUCAGGCGUGGGUGGUUAUCAUAAUAGAUUCCCAACAUAUCAUAAGAUUCCCGUUCUUGAAAAUCAGAACUUUUCCAGAUCCAGAAAACAGACGGGAUUCUAGGAUUCCUCCUUUGGGCAAAUACUUUUAUACAUACCUCUUCUGGUUGAUCCACACCAUAUUGUAUUCUCGUAAGAUGAUACACACUAGCUAAUAAUCCUCCUGGUGCUACAUCAUAAGCACACUGAGAACGUAGGUAAUUGUAACCAUAUACAUAUGAAAUGACAGCAAUGGAGUACCAAUCUUCGGAUUUAAUUUGUAAAGUUUCUAUUCCUUGGUAAUCGAAGCCCAAAGAUCUAUGAACUAGCUCAUGCUUGACUAGCCAAGCAGAUAAACGACCCUGCAUUUUCUUGAUUUCUCCCACAUUUGUAUUUGUAUGAGUAUUUUACAUUUACGAUAAAAUUUCUCAAGAUUGAUCUACUCUUUUCUUUGUUAUUCUGCACAAAAACAUUCUAAUUCACUAAUUCGUGAGAAGAUAGUGAACUCUUGUAUUUGAAAAGUGUUUCAGAAAGUAUCUCUGAAGUAGAUGGCGAUUGGUAGAGUAACUCUUGAUCGUAAUUUCCGGUAUGAAUACUGCGCCCAACCCGAAACUUGUGAUUGGUAGUAAAACAUCGAUCUUCCUGUUGGGACGCGAUUCUAUCUUCAUAGAUUUCUCGAGAUACCUUCUUACGAAGUUUCGUUAUAGCGUCUAUAAUUGCUUCUGGUUUAGGUGGGCAACCCGGCAAAUAGACAUCCACAGGAAUUAACUUAUCGACUCCUCGAACGGUACUAUAAGAAUCGGUACUGAACAUUCCUCCUGUAAUAGUACAGGCUCCCAUAGCAAUGACAUAUUUUGGUUCAGGCAUUUGUUCAUAUAAUCUUACUAAAGAAGGAGCCAUUUUCAUUGUCACUGUGCCGGCUGUUAAAAUAAGGUCGGCUUGCCUAGGACUCGAUCUUGGUACCAGUCCAUAACGAUCAAAGUCGAAUCGCGAGCCAAUUAAUGAAGCAAAUUCAAUGAAGCAGCAACUGGUACCAUAUAGAAGCGGCCAUAAACUGGAGAGUCUUGACCAAUUCGAAAGAUCAUUCGGUGUAGUUGAAAUAACUGAAUUUGGGGUUGUUCGGUCAAGUAACGGAAACUCCAUAGAAUUCAUAACUGUCUCAAUGGAAUCUUUUCCUUCUUUUUUAUCGUCUGAAUAUUCAGGAGCUAAGACCAUUCCAAUGCUCCUUUUCGCCAUGCAUAAACUGAACCAACGAUUGGGAUAAGCACGAAAAUUAAAGCUUCUAUAAAUACGGAUACGCCCAAUACAUCGAAACUCAUGGCCCAUGGAUAAAGAAAAACGGUUUCGACAUCAAAAACAACAAAAACUAGGGCAAACAUGUAAUAGCGGAUUCGGAAUUGUAUCCAAGCAUCCCCCAUUGGUUCUAUACCUGAUUCAUAACUAGAGACCUUUUCUGGUCCUUGACUAAUCGGGGCUAAAACUCCAGAAAUUAGAAAUGCCAAAAUAGGAAUAACACUUGAUAUCAUUAGAAAUGCCCAGAAAAUAUCAUAUUCGUGAAGCAGAAACAUAGAUGUACUCCUAUGAAUGUAAAAUAUACCGAAUUAUUCGAUUCGAAUUGGAAUUGUCAAUUAACCCAUAACUUUUUACUCGAAACAAGAAUUGAUUGUGAUCGGGCCACAUAGAUUGUUUCGUUGAUGUGGGCCGUGUCUCGUUCAAGAUUCAUCCAACGAGAUCUCGCUUACUUAUUUUUUUUUUUAUUUAUUAUUUUAAUUAAUUAAUUAGAUUUAUUAUUCCAUUUAUUAUUAUAGAUAUAGAUAGAUUUUUAUUCUAUUAAUAUCUAUUAAUUAAUAUUAUAUUCAUAAUGGUAUUCAUUUUUUAGUAUUUAUUUUAUUUAUAUUUACUUGGUUACUUGAGAAGAAAAUUCUCUCAUUUUGACUCGGGCUCUCCUUUUCCAUAAAAAAAAAAAAAUGAAUGAAUUCAAUUCAUUAAAAAAUAUGUCUACUUUUUUCUCUUUAGUCUCCGCGAUUUCUAAUUUAGAAUAGAGUGGUGUGUGGUAGAAAGUCCAGGUAUUUUCAUCUCGGAAUUUCUGUUAUGGUAUAUUCUACUUGGCUUGGCGGAUUCUCCUCAUUAGGAUCUUCUAUUUUUAUUCAGAUCUUUCUUUCUAUUGAUUUCGAUACGGAAUGUAUUGACCCAUUAGAUUCUCUUUACUUGUCCCGGAUUCCUAUUGAAUUGGCAUUGACGUUGAAUUCCGAGAAAGCCUUACAAACCCUUAACUUAAUCUUAUCUUCUUUAUCUUCUAGAACAACUAUAGAUUCUUAUUCUAUAGAUAUUAUUCUAUAGAACUAUAGAUAUAGAACAAUUAACAAGAAACUCUAUAACAAUAACAAUGAAUAAUAACAAUUCAGAGAUUUCUAUACGCAAACUGAAACUUAUUAGGUAAAGAAAUAAAAGAAGGCACAAUCGUUGAUACAUUUAGGUUUAGGACCAAUUCGUUGGUUCAGAGAUAAUGAAUUUGUGUUCUUGUUCCGCCAAAAAGGGAUGAGUCGGAGAUUCCUAAUUCUUCCUCUUCCAGCUCAAUCAAAGAGAACCCUAAUCUUCUUGCAUAAAUAUAGGGUCUGCAUCAGUGGAAUUGGAAUGAUGAGCAAUUGGAGUAGAUUGAGAUAGAAAAAACUAUUUCUUUUUUCUUUUUUGUUUUGUAAUUGUACAGAAACAGAAAAAGACUACUUGCCUUACUAGGCUGGUUAUACGAAUAAAAAUCCCCAUAUUAACAAUGAAACUCUUUCGUAAGUUUCAUUUUUGAAACACCAGCUUUUCCACAAGCACAAGAAUGUGUCCUGGGUCCGCGCGACUAUUUUAGUCGAUUUUUUUAUUGAUUUUUAUUUAACUUCAUAUCAUAUAUUUAUCUACAUAAAUAUCAUAUUUCUAUUUUCUAUUGAUUUUCAAUUUUAUUUUCAAUCUAUUUAUUCAUUAUUCAAUUUCUAUAUGAAAUAAAAUAUCAGAUUUCUAAUUUCAAUUGAAUAGUUAAUAGAAUUUGAGAAUUUGAUAUUUCUAUAUCUUAUUAAGAAUUUGAUAUUCCAUCUAAUUUUCAAUAGAUUUUGAAAUAGAUUUGAGAUUUUUUUGAUCUUUUAUCUAAUCUAAAAAAUUCUAAUCUAAUUUAUAUUAAUCUAAUAUAUAUUAUUAGUCUAUUAGAUAUUUAUUUAGAUUCGAUUUGUAGAUUGGGUCAGGUUGGAGUUUUUAGGCCAGACUCGUGCAUGAUAUAUAUCUGUUUAUUUUGACUUUGACUUCGUCAAUUUACUCGAUUGGAUAUACCAAAGGUGUACCAAUAAAUCUUUGAUCUUGAACAGGAAAAGAAGAAAAAGUUGUAUCUAAGCACAUCUACUAAUUCAUCCACGAAGAUUGAAUUGAUGAAUAAAAAUCAAAGAAAUAUAAAGAAUAGAUAAUUGGAAUGAAUUCUUCCUUGUCAUUUUCAUGUCCCUAGGAAAUUUGGGGGAGCAUGUGGGAAUGGUUUAUAUGUUAUAGCCCAACCGUCCGUCUAGGAUAGUCUGACAUAAAUGGGUACAAAACCAAAACAAAUUAUAAAUGUAUAGGGCUAUACGGACUCGAACCGUAGACCUUCUCGGUAAAACAGAUCAAACUGAUUAUUAUCAAAAUGAUUCGAACUGUUUCAAAAACCCAACAUGCACUUUUUUUGCUUUUGCAUUGGGCUCUUUCAUCAACUGAUGGAAAGAUCAGUUAGUCCACCAUCUUUUUCUUUACAGAAAGAUAACGAUAUGGUUCCAUAUGCUCCGUUUCCUUCUUUUUCUUCUGAUCCGGGAGCAAUACCAAAGUGUUUCAAAGGGUUACCUUGACGUAGGUCUGCUUCUGGCCUGGAUCAACCCCAAUGGAGUCUCUAUCGUUCCGCUGCAAGAGUCAAAUAUGAUACUUCAUACACCUCAAAGUUCAUAGGACGAAAAGAGGUUGUUCUUUUGAGGUCCCCAUACUCAUUAAGCCUAGCAUUGAAUGGAUUGGGUAUUCACCUUAUCAAUUAUCAAAUCAAUGAUUGGUUCUAUUUGGCACCCAAACCCUAUAAAAUAGGACCAAACCUAAUAUUUGUCAGGCUAUUGUUCUCUCGUUUCCUAGAAUCAAUGGAGUAAGACAUCGAUCUCUCAGAUCAAUUCCCUUGAUUGCAUGAUGGACUCCCCUGAAAAAGCAUUGGCGCGCGUGUAAACGAGGUGCUCUACCUAACUGAGCUAUAGCCCUACCCUUGUCAUAGACAUCUUACCAUAUGGAUCCUUUUUUGUCAAGAUGAAUAUUCCAUGAUUCAGACAUGAUAGCUCUGAUCGGGUUCCCGCCAAAGGUUGGUAUUGCUUAGAAGUAAUAUUCCCUCUAUAAUCCUUGAUGUGUACCAUCCUUUCUCUUUGUGAUGAUAAAUAACCUACUUAACCCAGUGGUUAGAGUAUUGCUUUCAUACGGCGGGAGUCAUUGGUUCAAAUCCAAUAGUAGGUAGAACUUAUUAGGUACCGGAGUCAAUGGCAUCUAAUAAGUUUUUCUACCCUUGUUAUUGAUUUUGUAUAUUUUCACUAUUCCCACCCCACUAUUCUUGUUCGUUGCACCAGAUUACCCUUGUUGUAUCCAAUUGACGGAAUGGAAUGGUGUAUAAACAACACUUUUUUGAUUCUGAUGAUACUUCGACUAGGACGAAAUAGCAUUGAUAGCCUCUACUCGUGUCCUAGCUCGUCUAAGAGCUAAAUUCGCCUCAAUUGUUUGUCUCUUGCCCUCAGCUCUACUCAGGUUAGCUUCAGCUAUUUCAAGAGUUUGCUGAGCUUCUUGCGGAUCAAUGUCACUACCCUUCUCCGCAUCAUUUACUAAUAUGGUUAUUUCAUUAUUGCCUAUUCUGGCGAAACCACCCAUCAGAGCCAUUGUUAACCAUUGCUCCUGGAGGCGUAUUUUGAGAAUACCUAUAUCUACAGCCGUUGCAAUAGGUGCGUGAUUUGGUAAUACACCAAUUUGGCCACUAUUAGUGGAUAAAAUAAUUUCUUUCACUUCUGAAUCCCAAAUGAUUCGAUUAGGAGUCAGUACACAAAGAUUUAGGGUCAUUUCUUUAAUUUGCUCUCUACUUCUAAGUUAAUAGCCUUCGCGGUAGCUUCAUCGAUGUUACCUACCAGAUAAAAAGCCUGUUCGGGAAGACCAUCUAAUUCUCCGGAAAGGAUCAGUUGAAACCCCCUAAUUGUUUCUGCGAGACCAACAUAUUUUCCUGGAGAACCAGUAAAUACCUCUGCUACGAAGAAGGGUUGUGAUAAGAAACGCUCAAUUUUUCGUGCUCUUGCUACGGUUAAACGAUCCUCUUCGGAUAAUUCAUCUGGUCCAAGAAUAGCUAUAAUGUCUUGAAGUUCUUUGUAACGUUGUAAAGUUUGCUUAACUCUUUGCGCAGUUUCGUAAUGUUCCUCGCCAACGAUCCGAGGUUGGAGCAUAGUUGACGUUGAAUCUAAAGGAUCUACUGCUGGAUAGAUACCUUUGGCGGCUAAUCCUCUUGAUAGUACGGUAGUAGCAUCUAAAUGUGCAAAUGUCGUGGCAGGAGCAGGGUCGGUCAAAUCGUCUGCAGGUACAUAAACUGCUUGAAUGGAAGUUAUGGAUCCCUCUUUAGUAGAAGUAAUUCUUUCUUGCAAAGAACCCAUUUCUGUACUAAGGGUAGGUUGAUAACCCACGGCAGAAGGCAUUCUGCCUAAUAAGGCAGAGACUUCUGAUCCUGCUUGAACGAAGCGAGAGAUAUUGUCAAUAAAUAGAAGUACGUCUUGCUCAUUAACAUCACGGAAAUAUUCCGCCAUUGUUAGGGCAGUUAAACCAACUCUCAUCCGAGCUCCCGGCGGUUCAUUCAUCUGACCAUAGACUAGAGCGACUUUUGAUUCUGCAAUAUUUUGUUCAUUAAUCACUCCGGAUUCUUUCAUUUCCAUGUAAAGAUCAUUUCCUUCACGAGUACGUUCUCCUACUCCGCCAAAUACAGAUACACCUCCGUGAGCUUUGGCAAUGUUAUUGAUCAAUUCCAUGAUGAGUACUGUUUUACCCACUCCGGCUCCCCCGAAUAGCCCGAUUUUUCCUCCACGACGAUAAGGAGCUAAAAGAUCCACCACUUUAAUGCCUGUUUCAAAGAUUGAUAAUUUGGUAUCUAACUGUAUAAAGGCAGGCGCAGAUCUAUGAAUAGGAGAUGUUGUGCGAGUAUCUACAGGACCUAAAUUAUCAACUGGUUCUCCAAGAACGUUGAAAAUUCGUCCGAGAGUAGCUUCGCCAACCGGAACACUUAGAGGAGCUCCCGUGUCAAUCACUUCCAUUCCUCUCAUUAGACCAUCUGUAGCACUCAUAGCUACCGUUCUAACUCGAUUAUUUCCUAAUAAUUGUUGUACCUCACAAGUCACAUUAAUUUGCUGACCGGCAGUAUCUCGACCCUUAACUACCAAAGAGUUGUAAAUAUUGGGCAUCUUGCCCGGGGGAAAAGCUACAUCCAGUACCGGACCAAUGAUUUGAGCGAUACGUCCCACGCUUUUUUCCGCAAGUGUAGAAGCCCCGGAACCAGAACCAGAAGUAGUAGGAUUGAUUCUCAUAAAAAAAGUGAAAUAUGCCCACGAAUAUUACCGAAUCAAAAAUGUCCGAUAGCAAGUGGAUCGGUUAAUUCAAUAAGAAAGGGGAGUUCUCGCUCGAUUUAGUUGGUACUAUCUAAUUGAAUCCGAUUCAAUCGCUCACUGAUUCAAUGAAUGAAUUUUCAUUUUCAAGUUCAACCAACCUUUCCUUUCGUCGAGAUAUCGAGUAUACGAAUAAAAAUCAUGAGAAAGUAUUUACUUUUCUUUAUCUGCAUCUCUUUUCUAUUAUAGACAAUCCCAUCUAGUCAUAUUCAUAUAUAGAAUUUGAACCCGAACUCCCUUUCUGAUUCAUUAUUUCUAUCUCAUUGGUCGUUGUCCCCUAUUUCAGCAUAUUGAUUUUCGCCUAUUCCUUUUUUAUUUUCUAUCUUUUCAUGUAUGGAUUCUGUCUAUUUCUACACAUACGAUUUACAUAUACAACAUAUAUCACUGUCAAGAGUGAAUUUGUUAUGUUAUUAUUUGAAUGAAACAAAAAUAAAAAACGAAAAAAAAAGAAGGGGGUCAGGAGGUCAAUUAGGAACUUGAAAAACAAGGAUUGGGUUGCGCCAUACAUAUGAAACAGUAUACAAUAAUGAUGUAUUUGGCGAAUCCACGUAGUCCAAUAACGGACCUUAUUUUAAUUAGUUGAUAGUUUAUAUUAGUAUUAGUUGAGAAUUUUGUGAGAUAUUUUUGUGAAAGGCUUUCAUUCACGCCUAAUCCAUGUCGAGUAGACCCUGUCCCUGUGAGAAUUCUUAAUUCAUGAGUUGUAGGGAGGAACUUAUGUCACCAAAAACAGAGACUAAAGCAAGCGCUGGAUUCAAAGCCGGUGUUAAAGAUUACAGAUUGACUUAUUAUACUCCUGACUAUGAAACCCUAGCUACUGAUAUCUUGGCAGCAUUCCGAGUAACUCCUCAACCUGGAGUUCCACCUGAGGAAGCAGGAGCUGCAGUAGCUGCCGAAUCUUCCACUGGUACAUGGACAACUGUGUGGACCGAUGGACUUACCAGCCUUGAUCGUUACAAAGGUCGAUGCUACCACAUCGAACCCGUUGCUGGGGAAGAAAAUCAAUAUAUUGCUUAUGUAGCUUAUCCUUUGGACCUUUUUGAGGAAGGUUCUGUUACUAACAUGUUUACUUCCAUCGUAGGUAAUGUAUUUGGGUUCAAAGCCCUACGAGCUCUACGUCUAGAGGAUCUGCGAAUUCCUCCUGCUUAUUCCAAAAGUUUCCAAGGCCCACCUCAUGGCAUCCAAGUCGAGAGAGAUAAAUUGAACAAGUAUGGUCGUCCCCUAUUAGGAUGUACUAUUAAACCAAAAUUGGGGUUAUCUGCCAAAAACUACGGUAGAGCGGUUUAUGAAUGUCUCCGUGGUGGGCUUGAUUUUACCAAGGAUGAUGAGAAUGUGAACUCCCAACCAUUUAUGCGUUGGAGGGACCGUUUCUUAUUUUGUGCCGAAGCUCUUUAUAAAGCACAGGCAGAAACAGGUGAAAUCAAAGGACAUUACUUGAAUGCUACUGCAGGUACAUGCGAAGAAAUGAUGAAAAGGGCCGUAUUUGCCAGAGAAUUGGGAGUUCCUAUCGUAAUGCAUGACUACUUAACAGGAGGAUUCACUGCAAAUACUAGUUUGGCCCAUUAUUGCCGAGACAAUGGCCUACUUCUUCACAUUCAUCGCGCAAUGCAUGCAGUUAUUGAUAGACAAAGGAAUCAUGGUAUACACUUUCGUGUACUAGCUAAAGCAUUGCGUAUGUCUGGUGGGGAUCAUAUUCACGCUGGUACCGUAGUAGGUAAACUGGAAGGGGAACGGGAUGUCACUUUGGGUUUUGUUGAUCUACUACGUGAUGAUUUUAUUGAAAAAGACCGAAGUCGCGGUAUUUAUUUCACUCAAGAUUGGGUAUCUAUGCCAGGUGUUCUGCCCGUGGCUUCAGGUGGUAUUCACGUUUGGCAUAUGCCUGCCCUGACCGAGAUCUUUGGGGAUGAUUCCGUAUUACAGUUCGGCGGAGGAACUCUGGGACACCCUUGGGGAAAUGCACCCGGUGCAGUAGCUAAUCGGGUGGCUUUAGAAGCGUGCGUACAAGCUCGUAAUGAGGGACGUGAUCUUGCUCGUGAAGGUAAUGAAGUUAUCCGUGAAGCUAGCAGGUGGAGCCCAGAACUAGCUGCUGCUUGUGAGGUAUGGAAGGAGAUCAAAUUCGAAUUCGAAGCAAUGGAUGUCUUGUAAUCCAGUGAUUCCUGUUCGUUCCCCCAAUAGCAAUUAAAUUCGGCCCAAUCUUUUACUAAAAGGAUUGAGCCGAAUAAAGAAUGGGAUCCCUAUCUAUUUGCAUCAAUAUUCAAUAUGUAUAUUGCAACAUCGAAGGAGAAAUCCAUUUUCUUCUCUUUCGUCUCUAAGACUAAUACUAAGUAGCUCAAUGCUUCUAUUGUCUAUUGUUGGAUUCAUAAUAAAUCCUAUGGAUCUUUGGGAUUGGUAGAUCAUUUUAGAUCCUGUAGUUUCGAAUCAUAGAUGAAACCAAGGGUCACAAUUCCUUCUACCCAUCCUGUAUAUUGUCCUCUUUGUUUCGUGUUGGAAUCUAGACUUAUUCCAAGCAAAUAAAUUCUACAGAGGAGGGAACAAAUAUUUCUCUUUUGGAUGAGGAUUUGUCCACGGCAUGGGAAAAUAUCAUUUUUAUUGAAAAAAGGGUUCUAUCAUCAUAUAGAAUGAGCGAUGCUCCGGAUUCCAAAAAAAAAGAGAAUCAUUUCUUUUAAUACUAAUACUCAUUCUCACUAAUUAUUACUUAAUUUUAAUGAUCCUAGUAAUUGGAUCUAUAUACUUAAUUUUGAUUCUGAUAGGAGAUGAAUGAAUAUAGUAAAAUGACGAUUUAUCGAAUGACUAUUCAUCUAUUGUAUUUCCAAACAGGAGGCAGGAGGGCUCUAUGGAAAAAUGUGGGUUCAAUUCGAUGUUGUCUAAUGAAGAGUUAGAGCACAAGUGUGAACUAAGUAAAUCGAUGGACAGUCUUGGUCUUAUUGGAAAUACCGGUGCAGGUGGAGGCCCUACUCUAAUAUUCGAUGUCAGGGACAUUUUGAGUUUGAUCUAUGAUGACACUUUUAAGCUUAAGGAUAGGAAUGGUGACAGCUAUUCCGUAUAUUUUGAUAUUGACAAUAAGAUCUUUGAGAUUGACGAUGAUAGUGACUCUCUGAGUGGACUAGAUAUUGAAAAUCAGAAUCAGAUCUUCUUUGAUAUUUACAAUGAUAGUGACUCUCUGAGUGAACUAGAUAGUGAAAAUAAGAACUUUGAGAUUCACAAUGAGAGUGACUUUAUGAGUAAACUAGAAAGUUCUUUUUUUAGUUAUCUCACUUAUAGUUGUCUCAAACGAAGAAGUUCUUUUUCUAGUUAUCCUACUUCUCUCACUUCUAGUAAUCUCAAUAGUGGAUCUAAGAGUUACAACCCCUACUAUGAUCCUUACAUGCAUGACACUAGAUAUAGUUGGAAUAAUGACAUUAACAUUAAUAGUUGCAUUGACAGUUAUAUUCGUUGUGAAAUCGAUUCCAUUUCAAGUGGUAGCGACAAUUGCAGUGACAGUUAUAUUUAUAGUUACAUCUGUAGUGAGGGGGUAAGUUAUAGUGACAAUGGGAGUUCUAGUAUAAGAACUAGAACUAGUACUAGUAGUGGCAGUUCUUACCAUAUAAGAGGAAGAUCUAAUAAUUUCGAGAAAAAUAAAAAAUUAAAAAAAUUAUGGGUUCAAUGCGAGAAUUGUUAUGCAUUGAAUUAUAAUAAAUUAUUUAGGUCUAAAAUGAAUGUUUGUGAACAAUGUGGAUAUCACUUGAAAAUGAGUAGUUCAGAUAGAAUCGAACUCUCGAUUGAUCCAGGCACUUGGCAUCCUAUGGAUGAAGAUAUGGUCUCCACGGAUCCUAUUGAAUUUCAUUCGGAGGAGGAACCUUAUAGAGAUCGCAUCGAUUCUUAUCAAAGACAAGCAGGUUUAACCGAUGCUGUUCAAACAGGCAUAGGUCAACUAGAAGGUAUUCCGAUAGCAAUUGGAGUUAUGGAUUUUCAGUUCAUGGGAGGUAGUAUGGGAUCCGUAGUAGGCGAGAAAAUAACUCGUUUGAUCGAGUAUGCUAUUGAUAGAUCUCUCCCAGUUGUUAUUGUGUGUGCUUCUGGAGGAGCACGCAUGCAAGAAGGAGGUUUGAGCUUGAUGCAAAUGGCUAAAAUAUCUUCCGCUUCAUAUAAUUAUCAAUCCAAUAAAAAGUUAUUCUAUGUAUCAAUCCUUACAUCUCCUACAACCGGUGGAGUGACUGCGAGUUUCGGUAUGUUGGGAGAUAUCAUUAUUGCCGAACCCAAUGCCUACGUAGCAUUUGCAGGCAAAAGAGUAAUUGAAGAAACAUUAAAUAAGAAAAUACCUGAUGGUUUGCAAGUAGCUGAGUAUUCAUUCCAUAAGGGCUUAUUCGAUUCAAUCGUACCACGUAAUCCUUUAAAAGGUGUUCCAAGUGAGUUAUUUCAGCUCCACGGUUUCUUUUCUUCUACUUUCCAUCCCCUUAAAUCAAAUAAAGUAAAGCGCUAAGUUCAGUUAUUUGGAGCCAAAAAGUAUUUAGCUGAUCGGAAUCGAAGUAACAAAAAAGGAGUUUUCUUUCCUGACAUAAGUUCUAAUUUCUAAUUGUAGUACGAAUCAGAUAGAUCUAUUAUUCUACCUUUAUUCCUGACUAGUAAUCAGGAACCCUCUAUCAACAGGAUAAGAUUUUCGUUCCGCAAAAUUGAAAUUAGAGAAAAAAAAGAUUUCAUGUUCUUGUUAUGUAUCAAAUAUUCUAAUAGACUCAUUCUAAUUCUAAUUCUAAUAUAGGAGUAGGAGUCUUGCAUAUUUAUAUAUCUCCCGGAGUACCAGAACCCUUUCUUAGUAUGAAUCCCUCUUGGAUCGAGUUCUAACGAAUCCUUUGAGAACUCGUGAGAAACUUUAGAAACAUAGGGACGGGGGAACAAUAAAAUUCUCAUACAUAUAUUUCGUGGAGAAAAAAGAAAAUAAAAGAAAUAGGUACACCUUUUUUUGAAUUCAUUUCAAUUCUACAUUCCUUGUACCUUGUAUUUAUAAUAUACUUAAUAUAUAGAUAAUAAUAAUAGUUCUUUACUUAUCCUUUCUUUUCUUUCUUUAGAGAAGAAUUCCAAAUAAAAUAUUAAAUCGAGGCACCCGUUUUAUGACAGAUUUCAACUUACCCUCUAUUUUUGUGCCUUUAAUAGGCCUGUUCUUUCCGGCAAUUGCAAUGGCUUCUUUAUUUCUUCAUGUUCAAAAAAACAAGAUUGUCUAGGGACCAAAUCUCAUCAAUUUAUUUCAAUCAUUAGAUUGUAAUACAGAUAAGAUAGCUAUUUAGUUUAGUGGGGGGAGGACAACAUAGCUCCGGACGCAAAUAAAAGAGCUGUUAUCCAUUGUUAUCCAUGUAAAUAGAUGAUAUAUGGAUAAAUGCAUGUGUAUGCGGAUAUAGCUGUUUGAAAUUUGGAUCGAAUUUUUGCAAUCUAAUCGAAAUAUAGAACUAUAGAUUAGAUUAUAAAUAGAGAUUCUUAUAUAUGUAGAUACAUACAUAUAUAAACAUACAUAAUGGGAUCAUAUGAAGGAAGGUUUAUUGAUACCUAACUUAUUCGAUGAGUUGUUCCUGAUAGUUCACUCAUGAUAGUGCUAGUUGAUGAGAGUUACUUCGGGAGCCAAAAGAGUAAAAUAAAUUUUGGUCAUUUUCUCAAUUUCAAUAGGAUGCAACUGGAUCUAGUAUGAACUGGCGAUCAGAACGUAUAUGGAUAGAACUUAUAACAGGUUCUCGAAAAACAAGUAAUUUAUGUUGGGCCUGUAUACUUUUUUUAGGUUCACUAGGGUUCUUAUUAGUUGGAACUUCCAGUUAUCUUGGCAGGAAUCUGAUAUCCUUAUUUCCGUCUCAGCAAAUCCUUUUUUUUCCACAAGGGAUUGUGAUGUCUUUCUAUGGUAUCGCAGGUCUGUUCAUUAGCUCCUAUUUGUGGUGCACAAUUCUGUGGAAUGUAGGUAGUGGUUAUGAUAGAUUUGAUAGAAAAGAAGGAAUAGUGUGUAUUUUUCGUUGGGGAUUUCCUGGAAGAAAUCGUCGUAUCUUCUUUCGAUUCCUUAUGAGAGAUAUUCGGUCAAUCAGAAUGGAAGUGAAAGAAGGUAUUUAUCCUCGUCGUGUCCUUUCUAUUGAAAUAAGAAGCCAGGGAUCCAUUCCCUUGACUCGUACUGAUGAAAAUUUCACUCCACGAGAAAUUGAGCAAAAAGCUGCUGAAUUGGCCUAUUUCUUGCGCGUACCAAUUGAAGUAUUUCGAACCAAGGAAUGGAUACUUUCUCGGCAUGGGGUAGGAAACCCAAGAAUCCUUUUUAAUACAACUGAUCUUUCUUCGGAACAACUGCUCAUUCGAUCAAAACAUGUUAGUGUUAGAUCCUAUUUCCGCUCCCUUCUGUUCCCCGUCUGCGGCUAGGGGAGCAGUCCAAGGUAUACAGAACCAUCAUUUCAUUAGGUCCUCCAAAACAAAAGAGUGAAUCUUUCGUGUGUAUGGAACUCAACUCGUUCUAUUCGUAACAAGUCUAAUAUAAGAAAAUAAGUAUGUAUUCAUCACAUAUAUCAGAGCAGAACGGUUCGGAGUACAGAAUGUUUUUAGGACUAGGACAAAGAUUUCAAAUUGAAACCUUAGAUAUAGAUGGAUCUCCCAUAAAUUCUUCUUUUGUCAAUCAAGAUCUCUUUCUUUUUAUCUUCUCCUUUGUUUUUGUUCCUUGAUGACCAAACGAUUGGAUCUCUAAUAAAAUAACCAUCCAAUUUAUCUCUCGUUUCGCCACCUAUUUUUCAUUAUCAGUAUUCUUCAGAAAUCUCUUCUGCCUUAUUCCUUUUUCUGUGGGUAACCGGUGAAACAUUUCGAAAUAAUUGAAUUGAUCGAUCCAAAUUCUUCCGUCCCGAAAUCUGAAUAUGAAUACUAUACUAAAACUAAACUAUGAUGUUAUUUAUGUUAUCUUUUGUUAUCCUAUGUUAUUUUCUUACUUCAAGUGGUUUUUUCGGGCAUUUAUCGAAAGGAAUAAAUAGAGAUACAAUUGGUCCGAAUUUGACCAAUUGAGAUAUCUGGGAACGAUAUUUCAUUAUCUCUCUCAUUCGAAACGGAGGGACCCUUAAUUCUAUAAUUCUUAUUCUUUCUAGUUCUAGGGUCAAGACAAGCAAGGACUAAAAAAUUAAACACAAUACAAUAUGGAAUAGAUCUAUAGGUGCGAUACCUUGUUGUAGAACUCAUGCUUCAUCCAAAUAUCAGACAGAGUCGACGAAUGAAUCAGGUUCAUUAACAAUUCCCAGAUUGGAAGUGUCCAAAAAGAAAGCAUUGACUUCCCUGCCAUAUCUUGCAUCUAUAGUUUUUCUGCCCUGGGGAAUUUCUCUAUCAUUUAAUAAAAGUCUGGAACCUUGGGUUACAAAUUGGUGGAAUACCAGCCAAUACGAAACUCUUUUGAAUGAAAUUCAAGAAAAUAACGUUCUUGAAAGAUUCAUAGAAUUAGAAGAACUAUUCUUGUUGGACGAAAUGAUAAGGGAUUAUCCGGAGACACAUAUACAAAAGCUUCGUAUAGGAAUCCACAAAGAAACGAUAGAAUUGGUGAAAAUGUACAAUCAAGAUUAUAUCCAUAUAAUUUCGCAUUUCUCGACAAAUAUAAUGAGUUUCGCUAUUCUAAGUGCUUAUUCUAUUCUGGGUAAUGAAGAACUUGUCACUCUUAAUUCUUGGGUUCAGGAAUUCUUCUAUAACUUAAGUGACACAAUAAAAGCUUUUUCUAUUCUUUUACUAACCGAUUCAUGUAUCGGAUUUCAUUCGCCCCAUGGUUGGGAACUCAUGAUUGGUUCGGUCUACAAAGAUUUUGGAUUUAGUCAUAACGAUCAAAUUAUAUCCGGUCUCGUUUCCACUUUUCCGGUUAUUCUAGAUACUAUUUUGAAAUAUUGGAUCUUCCAUCAUUUAAAUCGUAUAUCUCCUUCACUUGUAGUUAUUUAUCAUUCAAUGAAUGAAUAAAACUUAUUUCAUUUGACAUCAACAAAAUUGUAAUGUGACUUCAUACAUAAACAAAGCAUUCAAAAUCUUACUGAUUCUUUAUACUUUAUUUACCCGUAGAUUCCUUCUAUUCUAUAUUUCAGUACAACGGCAGAAUCGUGAAUAGGGAACUAUACUAGCUACCUACCUAAUUUAUUGUAGAAAUUUCCGGGAUCAAUGAUUGGGCCAUGCAAAAUAGAAAUACUUUUUCUUGGGUAAAGGAACAGAUGACUCGAUCCAUUUUUGUAUCGAUGAUGAUAUAUAUAAUAACUCGGGCAUCUAUUUCAAAUGCAUAUCCUAUUUUUGCGCAGCAGGGUUAUGAAAAUCCGCGAGAAGCAACUGGACGUAUUGUAUGUGCCAAUUGUCAUUUAGCUAAUAAGCCUGUGGAUAUUGAGGUUCCACAAGCUGUGCUUCCUGAUACUGUAUUUGAAGCAGUUGUUAGAAUCCCCUAUGAUAUGCAACUGAAACAAGUUCUUGCUAAUGGUAAAAAGGGAGGUUUGAAUGUAGGAGCUGUUCUCAUUUUACCCGAUGGAUUUGAAUUAGCUCCUCCUGAUCGUAUUUCUCCCGCGAUGAAAGAAAAGAUAGGUAAUUUAUCUUUCCAGAGUUAUCGCCCCACUAAAAAAAAUAUUCUUGUGAUAGGUCCUGUUCCUGGUCAGAAAUAUAAUGAAAUUCUCUUUCCAAUCCUUUCCCCGGAUCCCGCUACUAAGAAAGAAGUUCACUUCUUGAAAUAUCCCAUAUAUGUGGGUGGGAAUAGAGGAAGGGGUCAGAUUUAUCCCGAUGGGAGCAAGAGUAACAAUACAGUUUAUAAUGCCUCAGCAUCAGGGAUAAUAAGUAGAAUAAUACGUAAAGAAAAGGGUGGAUAUGAAAUAACCAUAGCUAAUGCAUUGGAUGGGCGUCAAGUGGUUGAUAUUAUACCUCCAGGACCGGAACUUCUUGUUUCCGAAGGUGAAUCUAUCAAACUUGAUCAACCAUUAACGAGUAAUCCCAAUGUGGGUGGAUUUGGUCAGGGGGAUGCAGAAAUAGUACUUCAAGAUCCAUUACGUAUCCAAGGUCUUUUUCUCUUUUUGGCAUCUGUUAUUCUGGCACAAAUCUUUUUGGUUCUUAAAAAGAAACAGUUUGAGAAGGUUCAAUUGGCUGAAAUGAAUUUCUAGAUCCACGGAUUCCUCAACAUCGAGUUGGUAAAAAGAGCCGAAUUACGAUGCAAUCAUGUAUGAUUCAAAAAAAAUCAUGGAAAGCCUUUUGCUUGUUUAUACUAUUUUUUUCUUUUUCUGCGGGAAUUACUUGUAUCCCACUAUCUCAUUACCAUUAUGAGUAAUAGUAUUCCGGAAGAAGGUGAUUUGAUCCAAUCAAAAUAGGAAUGUUGUGACUAUGCUGGGUCUCCUAUUGCCUGCCACAUUGUAAACGCUAUGGAAUGUAUCACUACUUUCUUUCUAUUCUAUUGUACCCAAUAGUGUAUCCAAUAGGCGGUGAGGGGAGGAGGAUACAAGGGAUAAAUGAAAGGAACAAGUGAUUCUAAGAAUCAUUAUUCGUCUCCCUAAUCUUCUACGAAAUCAAUCUUCCGAUCCUUCGUUGUGUCGAAAUAAUAAUGAUUCUUGAUCCCGUUCGUUAAAUAUUAAAGGCAGGUUUAUCGGAACCCCUUUGGAUUCAUAAGAAAAGAAGUCUCGAACAGACAAAGGGGGGAGUAACUUAUUGAAUUUAUCAAAUAGAACCUCUUCAAUGAAUUUCUAAAUAGAGAGUAAAAUUCUAGUAUAGGAAUGAUUUAAUGAUUUCCAAGGUUCUGAAGAAAUUCAUAUUGUGUCAUACCUAAAAUCCAUUGAUUAUUGAUGUUUUCUUGCUUCGGAAGAGUCCAUACACAGAGACUAUGAAUCAAUCAACAGAUCCGAUUCUUCAAAAACAUCAUCAAAAGCAAAAGAAUGGAGUGGUUUGCAUCGGAGCAAAUGAUCAAUUUUGUAAUUUCUACAAAUGUUGACUGGAGGAACUCCCAACUCUUAUAGAAUGGGUUAAGUUCUCGCCCGAAGAGUAAGAACUCAACAGGACCCCCUCUUUCUCUUUCUUUUGAGGGGGUAAGGUCCUGUUGAGUUCUUACUUCUUCAUAUCUACAACCCGGUUCGGUUCAUUCAAUUACUACAGGGAUGAGCCCAAUCCGGAAUAUGAUCCAUAGAAGAAAAUGCCCAUUGAACCGAUCACAGGAAUACCAGUUACAGUACCUAUCAGCCAAAGAGGAAUCCUUCCGGUAGUAUCGGCCAUUUACCCCACUUCCCUCCACAUUUCAUCAAGUGGUCGUGCUAGAGACAUAAACAGUCAUAGAUAAUUAUGAGCAUGAUAUCCUUCCGAAUGGAAUAAGAGAAUUUAUAAGAGAAUUUGUUUUCGUUCUCUCAAUCAAUUGAAGAAAUAAUUGGAAAAUGAAACAGCAAGUACAAAAAUGAGUAAUAACCCCCAGUAGAGACUGGUACGAUUCAAUUCAACAUUUUGUUCGUUUGGGUUUGAUUGUGUCGUAGCUCUAUAAUGAAUUCGAAUUAGGUUUAUCGUUGGAUGAACUGCAUUGCUGAUAUUGACCCCAAGAAAAAAACUGUAGGUACAGCUAGUCCGUGAACAGCCAACCAUCUCACUGUAAAAAUCGGAUAGGUUCUAUCUAUGGUCAUUGGGACCUCCUAAAAGGAUCUACUAAAUUCAUCAAGUUGUUCCAAUGAAUCGAAACGGCCAGUUAUUAAUGGAAUCCCUUGUCGGCUCUCUGUGAAAUACUCGUUCGGUCGAGGGCUUCCAAACACAUCGUAAGCUAAGCCUGUGCUGACGAAUAACCAACCUGCAAUGAAUAGGGAAGGUAUAGUAAUGCUAUGAAUGACCCAGUAUCGAAUACUGGUAAUAAUAUCAGCAAAAGAACGUUCUCCCGUACUUCCAGACAUGCUCAGCUCCACAUAUUCUUGUACAGUCAAGGGGGAUCGAUUUCGCGAAAGAUAGAGAUCAGUAAAUGGAAAACUACUGAUUUUUAUCCUUGUAAGAUCGUCAAUAUGGUACCGAGGGUGUAUUUAGAGUAUACCGAAUCAGUAUAGCUAUCCUUCCUCUGACACAGCAAUGCAGUUUCGAUCAAAAAAGAAAUGGUACAUAAUUCCUUUCUUCCUUUUUUGUUCCUUGUCUAUGCAGAACCGUGUGUCAUUCAAUAAAAGAUUCCUGUAGUAUAAGGUUUCACAUUACUUGCUUCGAAAUCUAAACUGAGGAUCCUGAUAAAAUGUAAAAAAGUAGGGGUUCGAAUAAUUCAUGAAGGACAUGAUCAUAUUUUCCUAAUUGGAUGGGAAAUAUAGAAAGAAUUUUUCAUGGUUGUAGAAAAGGUAUUUUUGUUCUAAUUCCUAUUUGAUUGGUUUGGUUGUGCCGUAGCAGAUAGUAUUCGAGAAAUGAAAGAAAGAGAACAAUGGAAUAGUCCAGGUUCAUGGCGCAACUAUUACUGCAUUAGGUUACUGCAUUAGGUACAAGGGUUUCUUCCUUACUUGGCUACAAGGAAGGAUAGGACUGCAUAAAAUAUAAAAGAAAGACAGAAUAUGGGACGUAGAAGGAGACUAAGAAUCGCUAGUCUUAGAAUCGGGAUCUGAAAAAAAAAAAAAAUAAAGUAAGGAUUUUUCUUUUUUUCCAGAUCGUGAAUACUAUUUUUUCUUCUCAUUCAAUUCAAUAGUGGGUCGGUUGAUUACAGAUAAUAUCUCGAAUAAGUUAAAGUAAGAGGUGUUACCGGGCCUUUUCUUUGAAAAAUAGAUCCAAUUGAAAAGGAAAAUAAUAUAAAAGGCAAUCAUUUUCAAAUUGAAUUCUUUUUCAUUAACUUGAAUAACUAUGAAAUAGAAGAAUUCAAUUUGUGAAUGAAGUUACACGACACGGUUCGUUUUGCUAUUACUCACAAGUUGCUCAAUGAGUUUGUUGAUUUGGAAUCACGAGAUCGGUAGAUGUCACAAAUCAUGAAUCCAUAUUGUUUAUUUUUUACCUCCUUCACUCUAUCUUUGUUAGUACCUCUAUUCUAUAAUGAAUGGCUGGUGAAUCAAAACUUUCAAUUCGAACGGAUCCUGUCAAUUGGGAUUGUUUCUUAUCAUCGUAUCUCGAUUCAAACUUAGGCAAAUGUUUUAUUUAUAUAUAUAUAUAUAUAUUCUAAUUAUUAUAUGUAUAAUGAUAAUGUAUAAUUAAAGAACAUAUCUCAUUUAGCUCCUUCAUGCCUACUAUAACUAGUUAUUCCGGUUUUCUACUGGCUGCUUCAACUAUAACCUCAGCUUUAUUGAUUGGCCUGAACAAGAUACGACUUAUUUGAAAUUAAUUGAAUGAACAAUUUCUAAAAAUUCAGAUUUUUGUGAGAUUCCAGGUAUUCUAUAGUUCCUUUCAGUGUCAAUUGCCAAUUCUUGGUCAUUGAGAUUCAUGGGUGAUUCGAAGUAAUAUUUAGGGAUAGAUAUUACCUCUCUCUUUCUCCCCUUUCAAACAAAUUGAAAUGAUUGAAGUUUUUCCAUUUGGAAUCGUGUUAGGUCUAAUUCCUAUUACUUUGGCCGGAUUAUUUGUAACUGCAUAUUUACAAUACAGACGCGGGGAUCAGUUGGAUCUUUGAUUGAGUAAGAUUCACUUUUUUUACCUACUCCAUACCCAGGAGUAGGUUCAAUUUCAUUGAUGGUUCCAGUUUCAAGUUACUGUGAUUCAGUACAAGAAGAAAGGAACCACGCUCUGUAGGAUUUGAACCUACGACAUCGGGUUUUGGAGACCCACGUUCUACCGAACUGAACUAAGAGCGCUUUCUCACGACAGUAGAUACAGUUGAAAAAGAAAAGGGUUCUUUUUGUAUCCCCUAAUUUAGCAUGUAUAAUUUAGCAUGUAUAUAUAUAUAGUCUCAUUAAGGAUUCUGUCUAAUUCUAAGUGAUUUCCAAUUGAUCCCUCGUUACUGCCCAUAGGAGAAGUAAUAGGUAGGGAUGACAGGAUUUGAACCCGUGACAUUUUGUACCCAAAACAAACGCGCUACCAAGCUGCGCUACAUCCCUUUCAAUUGUUGUACAGUGUCAUUGUAGAGAAUCCCUUUUCUGUUUUCCACAUCGUUAUUUUAUAUAAUCUAUACAUUUCUAUUAUACAUUUCUAUUGCCAUUUCUUCUUUUUGGUUUCAUAACAUAAAAUAAAAGAAUUAUGUACAUAUGAAAUCCACCAUCUAAAAAAAUGAAUCAAGAAGGAAGCGGGCGCCCUUUUCCAUAUUUUAGGGGCAGGAGCACCUUAUUUUCUUUUUAAUUUACCGACCAUUAUCUAUUUUAGGGAUUCCGCGUACAAAUACAAGUGAUUCUUAACUGCAUAUGCAUCUAAUCAUAUAUGUGUUCCAAUAAGGAAGGAGGAUUUUCAAUGCGAGAUAUAAAAACAUAUCUCUCUGUGGCGCCCGUGUUAACUACUCUAUGGUUCGGGGCUUUAGCAGGUCUAUUGAUAGAGAUUAAUCGUUUCUUCCCAGAUGCGCUGGCAUUCCCCUUUUUUUGAUUCUAAUUAUCGGGGUGGGAAGGAAUGAAAAAGAUGAGAGAUACAAAAAAUUCUCUGUGUGUGAAAAAGUUCCUCCCCUCUUGCUUCAGGAAGGAAAGAGAAAGAAAAAAUCAAAGUGGAUUGAAUCUCGGCCGGGUUCGGGAUAGAAUGAAUAGGGGGGAGGGCAGAAAUAAAAAAGUGGAUCUAAGGCAGGCUAUUCGAGAUCAUACCAGAUAUUGCAAUGAAAUACCGGUUUAGGAAUAAUGAUUGAUAGUUAGAAAUAAUUGUAUUACUUAUUACUUUUCCAUUGCAACCAAAUCAAAUCUUUCAUAAUUGGAUUUACAGCUAACAACUCCUAUUUCUUUCUUUUUCUUCGAAUCGAAAAUAGAAGAGUUGAGUGAAUCCAAAAUACAAAGGAGGUUCAUGGCCAAAGGUAAAGAUGCUAGAGUAAGAGUUAUUUUGGAAUGUACCAGUUGUACUCGAAAUGGUGCUAAUGCUAAGAAGGAAUCACCGGGCAUUUCCAGAUAUAUUACUGAAAAGAAUCGACACAAUACACCUAGUCGAUUGGAAUUGAAGAAAUUCUGUCCUUAUUGUUCGAAGCAUAUGAUUCACGCGGAGAUAAAGAAAUAGAUAGAACGUGUGCCAACAUUCCAAGAAACAGGAAGAAAUGAAAUAUUCUAUAUGAACAAAUCAAAUCCUAUUUCGGGCGGAUCAAGAUGAAUGAAGAAAGAAAAUGUGAUUUUGGAGAUAAGGAAUAAACCAUGGAUAAAUCCAAGCAACCUUUUCGUAAAUCCAAGCGAUCUUUUCGUAGGCGUUUGCCCCCAAUUGGAUCGGGGGAUCGAAUUGAUUAUAGAAACAUGAGUUUAAUUGGUCGAUUUAUUAGCGAACAAGGAAAAAUAUUAUCCAGACGAGUGAAUAGAUUGACCUUAAAACAACAACGAUUAAUUACUAUUGCUAUAAAACAAGCUCGUAUUUUAUCUCCGUUACCUUUUCUUAAUAAUGAGAAACAAUUUGAGAGAACCGAAUCCCUCCCUAGAAUUACUGGUACUAGAACCAUAAAGAAAUAGACCUAUUGGAUUGGAACUCAAAUCAGAAUUCAAAUGGAUGUUCUGUUCGAAAAAGCAGCGGUUGAUCCGGAUUCGAUUGUUACGUUGGAAGAAAAAAUGGAGAAAGAAAGAUUUCUUCUUUCUUUAUUGAUAUUGAAACGUAUUCGUUCAUUCCUACUACCUAUUACUUUGAUUUUUUAUUAAUUGAAUUUGAAUUGAAUUUCUUUUUAUUUCUAUUUUUUUCUUGAUUUUAUCAUGUUAAUUUCUACUCUAACCUUCCCGGAGGGAAUCUCCGGGAGAUUCUGUUGGAAUCAUUCCAUUCCGAUUCCGGCGGAUGGAUUCCUCUUAAUCCCUUUUUUCUUUUAUGAUUUCAUUGGAAAUCAUGUAAAGGGAAUUUAGAUUGUAUCUAGCUAUUUGUGCAGGUAUUUUACGAUUAAGAAGCAACUGCCUCUUGUACAGAUCGUUUAUUAAUCGACUAUAGGAUACCCCAUUUUCGUGAGUUGCUGCAUUUAUCCGAGCGAUCCACAAGCGACGAAAUUCUCUCUUUUGCCUACCUCUAUCCCGAUAAAUGGAAACCAAAGCCCUCAUUUUCUGUUGAGUAGCAGUUCGAGUAAGUCUUGAAUGGGCCCCUCGAAAGGUCGAUGCAAAUAAACGAAUUUUUGUUCGACGUCUGCGAGCUAUAUAUCCGCGUCUAACUCUGGUCAUUUAAUUUGAUUGAAUUUCACUUUAACUUUAGAUGAAUAACUAAUUGAUUUCUUUUCUUUCAGUCAUUCUUUCCCUUCGUCCUGAUUAAUAACAAAACGGAUUCUUCCGAUGUAUAAAAUAAAAAUUCCAAUGGCUUUUGCUACUAUGACUUUCCCGACCACGAUUUGUUAUCCAGUCAUUUCAACUCGAAUAGUAAAUAAGGAUAAAUUAACUAAAAUAAUAUAGUGGGUUCCUUCGUUUCUAUGAUUACUUCUUAAACGGUGAGGCCCUUUCUAUACACCGGAGCCCCCCUCAUUUAAUCAAUGUUAUUGAUAACUCGUACAAUUCAUACCGUUCGGCUCUACCCAUCAACUAUCCAGUAAUAGGUCUUUUCACAAGAAAAUCUAUCCAUACAGUGACGGCAUUUAAUUAUGAAGGUUGGCUAGGCAGCUGACCCUGUUAGUCCGCUUUUGCAACAAAACAAAAAAGAGCAUAAUCUUUCUUCUUUUUUGAAUACCAUUUCCCCCGCUUAAUGGAUACCCGUUUGCUACCGAUGAGGAAUUGCUUUUCAUCUCACAUCGAGAUGAUUGGAUUUGCACCAAUGGAAACCAUAAAUUCCAUAAGCAAUAAGGGUAUAUGAUAGAUCUUUUUAGAUAGUGAAUGGAAUUCUUCCAUUCUAUUCAUUGCUACUGAAAAAAUCAUCUAGUUUGUUCUAGCUCAUGAUCUGAACGAGUCGCACAUACACCCUAGUACAUGUUCCUCUACGCUGAGGGCAUCCUCGAAGAGCGGGAGAUUUCGUAACAUUUCUGAUUGGCUGUCUUGUGUUUCUAAUAAGUUGUUUAAUAGUUGGCAUGCUGAAUCAUAUACAAAAUAAACUGGUUUAGAUCGAUCCUAACCAGAUGAUCAGGAAUCCCUUUCUACUAUAAUACUAAUAAGAGCUUCUAAUCCUAUUAGAAUUCUUUUAUUUUCCCCCCGGUAACUCGGUAAUAAGAUAAAAUAUCACGGGUCAUUCGAAUUAUGUUUCGAAAUGAAUCACGGAUUUACGGGAAAUCCCAGGUAUUUUCGACUGCUAUAAGAUCAACAAUGCCAUGAGCUUGGGCUUCUGUUGCUGACAUAAAAACAUCCCUUUCCAUGUCUUCGGAUACAACCCAUAAAGGGUUGCCUGUUCUUUGUACAUAAACGCUUGUGAUGGUUUCGCGAAGUUUCAGUAGCUCCCCCGCUUCCAGGAUAAAUUCUCCUGCUGGUGCCUCAUAAAAAGAACUAGCGGGUUGGUGGAUCAUAACCCUGAUGAUUAAUAUGACAUUGUGAGCGGUUCUUCUAUAUUCGCAUAAUCGGACAGAAGGGAAUGAAUAAAGAAAAAGAAUAACAAAAAAAAAGAUAGAAUUGAACAACCGUACAGGCUUUGUGCGUUGCAUACGGCUCUGCAAUGGAAUCGACUCUUCUAUCCGAGAAAGAGACAAAUAGAAUCUAUUAGACCCAGAUCUUUAGAUGAUUCAUUUACCACCUUUUUCCUCGGAGGAGUCAAAAAUACUAUGAUGGUUCGGUUGCUUUUGAAGUUUUCAUUCAGCAAUCCCAAAGUUUCUUUCUGAUCCGAUCAAAUAAAAAAAAAGAGAAAAAGAAGAAUUUUUCUUUCAUUUUAUCCCUCUUUUCUUUCAUAAAAAUACGAAAGAGACUUCUGGUGUAGGAGCAAAAAGGUUUGUGACGCUGAAAUGUACCCCCGAUACAUAAGAUCAAAUUGGGAAUAACUUUUUUUCAUACUACUAUUUCGAUACAUAAUCAUGUUAUAAAAAAAACAACGAGGGUUUGUUCAUAUCGAAUUAGAAGUGCCAUGCUAUUAUUACUUCUUUCUUCUUUAUCUUCUUUAAUAUUAAUAUUCUAUGUUUUAUAUUAGAUUUUAUUUCUAUUUCUUUUGGAAUUUUAUAUUCAUUUAUGAUUGAUUUUUGAUUUUUUUUUUUCAUAUUUCAUAUGGCGAAGGCAUAGUCUUUUUUUUCUACUAAAUAUAAAUAAUAUAAAUAAAAACUCAUUGGCGCCAAGCGUGAGGGAAUGCUAGACGUUUGGUAAUUUCUCCUCCGGCCAGGACGAAAGAUCCCAUUGAAGCGGCUAAUCCCAUGCAUAUCGUAUGUACGUCUGGCGGUACAAAUUGCAUAGCGUCAUAAAUAGCUAUUCCUGGUAUUACCCAUCCGCCGGGAGAGUUUAUAAACAAAUAGAGAUCCCUGGUAUCAUCCUCUAUACUGAGAUAUACCAUGAGACCAACAAUUUGAUUCGAUAUCUCACCUUCAACCUCUUGGCCUAAAAAAAGUAAUCUUUCUCGAUGAAGUCGGUUGAUUAGGAUCAAAUUGUAUCCCUUAGGAAUCGUACACGCACCUUUCGAUGCAUACGGUUCAAAAAUUGCGAAAAAAAAAAAAAAAGAAUCAAUGUGCCGAUUACAGACCUAUUCCUUUUUUCGUAGCAGGGUUUUCCUCCCGAAGGGGCUUUUUCUUCCUUUUUCAAGAAACAUGAGUUUUGGUUCACCCCCUUAAAAGAAAAAAAAAAAAAGAAUUCACUGAACUUAUUGAAUCACUCUCUUAUUGAUGUAUUCUUUCAUCGAGAUCAAAAUCACGGUGUAAUUUUCUUGUUCCUGAAUGGGCCUCUUCAAUUCUUGUCUUUUAGGUUUAUGCUCUACUCCGGGUAAAGAUAUGCCCGAAUUCUAUUUGCACAUAUAGGACAAACGAUCCUAUUACCACCUCUUUUAUUAGUAAGUAUUAGAUUUUAUUAGUAUUAGAUUCAACUUUUUUUUUUUCAAUUUGCUUCAUGUCUUCCACCAAAUAUUCGAUGUAUUUAUGCUAUUACUCGAUAAGUUGGGAGUUUGGGAUCACUGAUCGAUAUGGAUAGUAAUAAUUUAUGAUUAUGAUAUUAAGUAGUAAUCAUACAUAUAUUACUACUACCAAAUACCAAUUUGAUAUUUUCUGAACGGAGCCUGGAUAGGCUACUCUAUUUUAUUGGUCCAAGCCAACCAUAGAUUAUUCUAAUUGAUAAUAUCUAUCCCCAAAACAAAAGGAUUAAUUGCACUUCACGCUCCGAAUUAUUGAUGGUUCAAUCAAUCUUUCUUGGGCGAAAGAGAGGAUAUCUCGAUCGGGGGAGAGAACGGGGGAAUUCCAUAUGACCCAAUAUGUCAGACAAGUCGCACUAUAUGUCAACCCAAGUUGCGUCUUCCUCUCCAGGACUCCGAAAAGGUACUUUUGGAACACCAACGGGCAUGAAGGAAAAAGGAGUUAAGCACUAUAAUUUCACUUUGAUGCGGAAACGUAAGAGUGGGUUUAUUGUCUUCAUGAUAUUGUCGUUUAUCGUAUUUUAUUCAUAAAUUGAAAGGUUCGUAGAGGAAUUUGGAAUGAAGAAGAUUCUUAAUGGAUCUUACAGAUGAAUCGUUCGAAUGAUGAACAAAUAUACAUGCAUUUGAUUCCAAUGGGACCAAUCUCCCCAUUGCGUAUUGAUACUUAUCGAGUAUAGAAUAGAUCUGCUUCUCUUUGUUCCUAUGAGCAGAGUCGUUCGAUUAUUACCAAGGGCACGGAGUUCACUCUUGUCCGAGAUAAUCCACUGAAAAGUGAAAAUGGUCAGGUCCAUAGCAUAGUCUUUUCCAAUGCGAUAAAGUUACAUAGUGUCUAUUUUGAUGAAGGGGUAUUUCCAUGGGUUUGCCUUGGUAUCGUGUUCAUACCGUUGUCUUGAAUGAUCCCGGUCGGUUGCUUUCUGUCCAUAUAAUGCAUACAGCUCUAGUUUCUGGUUGGGCCGGUUCGAUGGCUCUCUAUGAAUUAGCUGUUUUUGAUCCCUCUGAUCCCAUUCUUGAUCCAAUGUGGAGACAAGGUAUGUUCGUUAUACCCUUCAUGACCCGUUUAGGAAUAACAAAUUCAUGGGGCGGGUGGAGUAUCACAGGAGGAACUGUAACGAAUCCGGGUAUUUGGAGUUACGAAGGUGUGGCCGGGGCACAUAUUGUGUUUUCUGGUUUGUGCUUUUUGGCAUCUAUCUGGCAUUGGGUGUAUUGGGAUCUAGAAAUAUUCUGUGAUGAACGCACAGGAAAACCCUCUUUGGAUUUGCCCAAAAUCUUUGGAAUUCAUUUAUUUCUCUCAGGGGUGGCUUGCUUUGGGUUUGGCGCAUUUCAUGUCACAGGUUUGUAUGGUCCUGGAAUAUGGGUGUCUGAUCCUUAUGGACUAACGGGAAAAGUGCAAUCUGUAAAUCCGGCAUGGGGCGCUGAAGGUUUUGAUCCUUUUGUUCCGGGGGGAAUAGCUUCUCAUCAUAUCGCAGCCGGGACAUUGGGUAUACUAGCAGGUCUAUUCCAUCUUAGUGUCCGCCCACCCCAACGUCUCUACAAAGGAUUACGUAUGGGUAAUAUUGAAACUGUUCUUUCCAGUAGUAUCGCUGCUGUAUUUUUUGCAGCUUUCAUUGUUGCUGGAACUAUGUGGUACGGUUCAGCAACUACUCCGAUUGAAUUAUUUGGUCCCACUCGUUAUCAGUGGGAUCAAGGAUACUUUCAGCAAGAAAUAUAUCGAAGAGUUGGUACCGGGCUGGCCGAAAAUCUAAGUUUAUCGGAAGCUUGGUCCAAAAUUCCUGAUAAACUAGCUUUUUAUGAUUACAUCGGUAAUAAUCCGGCGAAAGGAGGAUUAUUCAGAGCAGGCUCAAUGGACAACGGAGAUGGAAUAGCUGUUGGGUGGUUAGGACACCCGAUCUUUAGAGAUAAGGAAGGGCAUGAACUCUUUGUACGUCGUAUGCCUACUUUUUUUGAAACAUUUCCAGUAGUUUUGGUAGAUGGAGACGGAAUUGUGAGAGCUGAUGUUCCUUUUAGAAGGGCAGAAUCAAAGUACAGUGUCGAACAAGUAGGUGUAACUGUUGAGUUCUAUGGUGGUGAACUCAAUAGAGUAAGUUAUAGCGAUCCUGCUACUGUGAAAAAAUAUGCUAGACGUGCCCAAUUGGGUGAGAUUUUUGAAUUAGAUCGAGCUACUUUGAAAUCCGAUGGUGUUUUUCGUAGCAGUCCAAGGGGUUGGUUCACUUUUGGACAUGCUUCGUUUGCUUUGCUCUUCUUUUUCGGACACAUUUGGCAUGGUGCUAGAACCUUGUUUAGAGAUGUUUUUGCUGGUAUCGACCCGGAUUUGGAUGCCCAAGUAGAAUUUGGAGCAUUCCAAAAAAUAGGAGAUCCAACUACAAGGAGACAAAUAGUCUGAUACAACAUUGCUCUGGUCUGUCUCGCCUCUAUUUGGUUUGGUAUAUUUCGUAUAGAGUACCGGAAAUAUAAAAUAUUGAUUCAAAUUACUCUUUCUCUGGGAAAUGAUCCCAAAUGAACAGGUAUGGAAGCUAUAUAUAAUUUCAUUGUAAACCACGAUCGAAUCUAUGGAAGCACUGGUUUAUACAUUCCUGUUGGUAUCGACUCUAGGGAUAAUUUUUUUCGCUAUCUUUUUUCGAGAACCGCCUAAGGUUCCGAAUAAAAAAAUAAAAUGAUUUUUCAUUAUCUCAAUUGAAAUAAUGAACCUCCUGGGAGGUUCAUUAUUUCAAUUAGUCCCCAUGUUCCUCGAAUGGAUCUCUUAGUUGUUGAGAGGGUUGCCCAAAGGCGGUAUAUAAGGCAUACCCAGUAAAGCUUACAAGUGAACCAGAUAUGGAGAUGGCAACUAGGGUUGCAGUUUCCAUUAUUAGAGAAUUUCAAUACCACGAUAGGAUAAGAUAGUUUAUUUACAACGGAAUAGUAUACAAAGUCAACAGAUCUCAACCAAUGCAAUAGAAUUUAUGGUUACACAAAGCGUGGAGGAUAGUUCCAGAUCUGGUCCAAGACGGACUAUUGUAGGGGAUUUAUUGAAACCGUUGAAUUCAGAAUAUGGUAAAGUAGCUCCUGGAUGGGGAACUACCCCCUUUAUGGGGGUCGCAAUGGCUCUAUUUGCAAUAUUUCUAUCAAUUAUUUUGGAGAUUUAUAAUUCUUCCGUUUUACUGGAUGGAAUCUCAGUGAGUUAGGUACAGAAAAACCAGCUAAAAACAAAAAAAAAAAAGAAAUGAAUCACUUAGGACUUGGGUUUCUAGGUUAGGUAGUUCGACCGUGCAAUUCCUUUGUUUCGGUAUUUCCGGAAUAUGAGUGUGUGACUUGUUAUAAUUGAUCCUAUUGUAUAGUACAGAGAGUGGAUCUGUCGUCUCGAUAGAGAUGGUUCUAUCUCGUCGGAUAUUCAGUCUAGUAUCUGAAACACGGACUCUUUAUUCUAUUAUAUGGAAUAGAUAAAUAAAAAUUUGAACUAUGAUUCAUACUUAUUUUUUUAUUCAGACCUCGUGACCGGGCUCAAAAAAAAUUCUCAAAGAUCUAUUUCAUAAAUCGAACGAUUCCUUUUUUUUAUUCAGAAUCAUGCUUACUUCAACUAAAGGACAAAUAUUUCUCUGGAUUUUUAGUCAUUAUAUCUUUGAAUAAAUGAUGAUCAAACGGUUCCUACUCAGAGAACCUUUUGUUUUUGAGGGACUUUGGUGAAUCAUCGUGGUUUUAAUAUGAAUCUAAGGUUUCAAUUGAUUCGUAGGGUCUCAACAAGAGAAUUCCUAUCAAUUGUAUGGUACUUCCUUAAGUAAAUCCGUAUUACGCACAAAAAAAUAAAAUAGGGUAAGAGAACAUUCAAGAGGCCUGUAACGAUCGACAUAAAGACAAGACGACGCGCCAACUUGAUAUUUUGGCAUUAUACAUCACCAAUCACAAAGAAGAGAUUCUGGAUUUUAGCUCUUUCGUAUCUUCAUGGAAGAUUGAAUCAAGUAGCUAAAAAGUUUCAAAUUUCAAUAUUCGUUGCAACCAGUAUUGGGGUGUUUUCGCUUGAGCCGUACGAGACGAAAUUUUCAUAUACGGUUCUCAGAGGGGGAGUCUCUUUGGUUUACCUAUCUCAAUAAAGUAUAUGAUUGGUUCGAGGAGCGUCUCGAGAUUCAGGCGAUUGCGGAUGAUAUAACUAGUAAAUAUGUUCCUCCUCAUGUCAAUAUAUUUCAUUGUCUAGGGGGAAUCACACUUACUUGUUUUUUAGUACAAGUAGCUACGGGUUUUGCUAUGACUUUUUACUAUCGUCCAACUGUUACAGAGGCUUUUGCCUCUGUUCAAUAUAUAAUGACUGAAGUAAACUUUGGUUGGUUAAUCCGAUCAGUUCAUCGAUGGUCGGCAAGUAUGAUGGUUCUAAUGAUGAUCCUGCACGUAUUUCGUGUUUAUCUCACAGGCGGAUUUAAGAAACCUCGCGAAUUAACUUGGGUUACGGGUGUGGUUCUGGCUGUAUUGACUGCAUCUUUUGGUGUAACUGGUUAUUCCUUACCUCGGGACCAAAUUGGUUAUUGGGCAGUCAAAAUCGUGACCGGCGUGCCUGAGGCUAUCCCUAUAAUAGGAUCGCCCUUGGUAGAGUUAUUACGUGGAAGUGCUAGUGUGGGCCAAUCUACCUUGACCCGUUUUUAUAGUUUACACACUUUUGUAUUACCUCUUCUUACUGCCGUAUUUAUGUUAAUGCAUUUUCCAAUGAUACGUAAGCAAGGUAUUUCGGGUCCUUUAUAGAGAAUUGAAUUUAUAGAGAAAAUAGAUCAUAGAUAUUAGUAAUAGAUCAUAUCUAUUUCGGGUAGGAACAAACAAAACAAUAGUAUUUCAUUGCUAAAAAUAUGGAUUAUUGAAAUCGAAAAGAAUAAAACAUAUUCUUUGGAUAUUUCUCUUCAACUCCUAAGUAUUCUUUACAUUAUAUUAUACGAAUAGUUGAAGCGGAUCCUCGAAAGAGAAGAUGGAUUAUGGGAGUGUUUGACUUGAACUAUUGAUUGGGCCGUGCAGAUAUAUGAAUUUAUCUGCCACAUUGAAAUUCACAACCAAAUGUGUCUCUGUCCAACCACCGCGUAAAUUCCCCCUACAGAGGACAGGCUGGUUCGCUUGAGGAGAAUAUUUUCUAUGAUCAAAGCCGAAUCAUGUCAUGCAUGAGCAGGCUCCGUAAGAUCCAUUAGAAUAAGUGAAAGUGAUUUGACAUGAGUCAGAUUGUGUUCUAUCUAUUUCACUUACCUAUAACCUAUAGUAUGGAAAUGCAUUCAUUUCCCCUGCAUUGAUCCUCGAUCUAUGAUACUAUCGGAGUGAAACAAGAGAUCUAAGGAAGAACAGAGGUUAGACUUUAUUAGUAACAAGUAAAUCCUUUGUAUGUACGAAAAGAAGAUUCGAGAUAUUGUGGGGAUAAAGAUCAAUCACAAGGCAUGAGACGAUCCAAAAAGCGCUUGGUAAUGAUCAAAAUUAAAAUUGCAAGCCUACUUGGGUAUUGAGCAUUUACUUGUAAGAACUGAAUUCCUUGUAAUGGAUAGUUGCAACUCCGUAUAAUUGAAUCCGGGAAAUCUCUUCUUACAUAAAGUCAUAUAUAUGUGAUGUGGUGGAUAUCUAUGAUUUUAUUUUACCAUUUCAUUUGAUUCUUUUGUUGCUCGAGCCGGACGAUGAAAAAUUAUCAUGUCCGGUUCUUUCGGGGGAUGGAUCCAUAAGAAUUCACCUAUCCCAAUAACAAAGAAACCUGACUUGAAUGAUCCUGUAUUAAGAGCUAAAUUGGCUAAAGGGAUGGGACAUAAUUAUUACGGAGAACCCGCAUGGCCUAAUGAUCUUUUAUAUAUCUUUCCAGUAGUAAUUUUAGGUACUAUUGCAUGUAACGUGGGUCUAGCUGUUCUAGAACCUUCAAUGAUUGGUGAACCAGCAGAUCCAUUUGCAACUCCUUUGGAAAUAUUACCCGAAUGGUACUUUUUUCCCGUAUUUCAAAUACUUCGUACAGUACCUAAUAAGUUAUUGGGUGUCCUUUUAAUGGUUUCGGUACCAACGGGAUUAUUGACAGUACCUUUUUUGGAGAAUGUUAAUAAAUUCCAAAAUCCAUUUCGCCGUCCAGUAGCUACAACAGUCUUUUUGUUCGGUACCGCACUAAGUCUUUGGUUAGGUAUUGGAGCAACAUUACCUAUUGAUAAAUCCCUAACUUUAGGUCUUUUUUAAAUUGAUUCAACCGUGAAAAACCAAGGGAUUACGUAUGUAUCUAGGGAAUAGUCGCUCCAAAGCGGAUCCUUCCUAGAUACAUCUAUUUAAAUUAUUAAAUUAUGUUACGGAUUCAUUGCGAAUAGCUCAUGAAGUACAGUCCGUGUUGAAAAUUCAAAACGGAUUUUCUUUCUUUUACAAAGAAAAGAAAGAAUUACAAUGGAUUGAAAACUUAUUCUUAGGUAUUAUAUUAGGUAAAUAAAUUCAUUGCAAAACGUUUCUUGAGAAUGUCCAAUACCCGUUUGACAUCCUCUACACGAAAAUGUUGAAUUUUCCUAAGAUCUUCUUGACUCUUACUCAAAAGGUCCAAUAAUGUAUGGAUAUUGGACCUUUUGAGGCAGUUAUAGGUCCUGGGAGAUAAUUCUAAUUGGUCAAUAAAAAUACGUUUCAAUGCAAUUCUUUUUUUGCUUUCCCCUAUCCCUAUAUAAGCCAACCCCUCAUGAAAGGGGAAAAAAGGCGCAGUAAAUAUGUUUUGAUCGUCAUCUAAAUGGAGGUCCCGCUCCUCCGCAUGUAGAAAAGGAAUAAAUAAAUCGAUCAAAUUACGGGAAGCUUCGUAAAGUGCCUCUUUAGGAGUUAAACUUCCAUUUGUCCAUAUCUCUAGAAAAAGUAUCUCUUGUUUUUCAUUCUCAUUUCCAUAACAUUGAAUACUAUAAUUCGCAUUUCGAACAGGCAUAGAUACAGCAUCUAUAGGAUAACUUGCAUCUUGGUUGGUGGUUCUCGUACGAUAUCCGCGAUUUCUCUCGAUUUCUAAUCCAAUACAAAAAUUAAUUGGUUCGGUGAUACUAGCUAUAUGCUGUGUAGUAUCAACUAUUUUCACAGAAGGUGGUGAGAUUAUAUCUUGAGCAGUUACAUAUUUAGGACCCCUAACACAGAUAAAUGCAUCACGAGUCCCGUACAGAUCGCUUCUAACUAUAAUUUCUUUCAAAUUCAUUAAAAUUUCAUGUACUGAUUCCUCAAUACCUACUAUUGUAGAAUAUUCAUGUGGUACCCUCUCAGAUUUUGCACAUGUGAUACAUGUUCCUUCUAUUUCUCCAAGUAAAGACCUUCGCAUCGCGGUACCUAUCGUAUCAGCUUGACCUUUCAUAAGCGGAGAUAGAACGAAACGACCAUAAUAAAGACGCUUACUGUCUGCUUUUGAUUCAACACACUUCCACUGUAGUGUCCGAUUGGAUACUGGUACUUCCUUUCGAACCAUACUAAUCGAAAUUGAUGGGGUCAUUGGAUCCUUUAUUUUUCUUCGAAUCUUUUCCUUUUUGAUUUCUACACGCGUCUUUUUUUAGGGGGUCUACAUCCAUUAUGUGGCAUGGGAGUUACGUCACGUACGAAACUUAAUAGUACACCACUUCUGCGAAUGGCUCGUAAUGCUGCAUCUCUUCCGAGACCAGGUCCCUUUAUCAUAACUUCUGCUCGUUGCAUACCCUGAUCCACUACCGUACGAAUAGCAUUUGUUGCUGCGGUUUGAGCAGCAAACGGUGUUCCUCUUCUUGUGCCUCUGAAUCCACAGGUACCCGCGGAGCACCAAGAAACCACCCGCCCUCGUACAUCUGUAACAGUCACAAUGGUAUUAUUGAAACUCGCUUGAACAUGAAUAACUCCUUUGGGUAUUCUACGUCCAUUCUUACGUGAACCAAUACGUCCAUUUCUACGCGAACCAAUUCUUGGUAUAGGUUUUUUCAUAUUUUAUUAUCUCAUAAAUAUGAGUCAAAGAUAUACGGAUAUAUCCAUUUCAUGUCAAAAAUAGAUCCUUUAUUUGUUGGGCACCCUGUGAAGUCCUCUUUUAUAAAUAUAAAAAUUACCCCUGUCUCUGUUUAUGUCUCGGAUUGGAACAAAUUACUAUAAUUCGUCCUCGCCUACGAAUCAGUCGACAUUUUUCACAAAUCUUACGAACAGAGGCUCUUAUUUUCAUAUGUGUCGCUCCUUACUUAAUUGAAUUCUGAAUUUCUUCCUUGGAAGAAAAAAAGAAGUUUCUUGAACUUUUGAGCCUCGAUAUCCUUAUGGAAGAAAUGAAAGGAAUUUUUAAGAAGCCGUCUAAUCAUUCGAAUCUUUGUUGCGAAGCCUAUAAAUAAUACGUCCCCUGGUUGAAUCAUAACGACUUACUUCAAUUUUCACUCUAUCGCCUGGUAAUAUCCGUAUAAAACUACGUCGGAUCCUUCCUGAAACAUAACCUAGAACCAGGUCUCCAUUAUCUAAGCGAACUUGGAACAUGCCAUUGGGAAGUGAUUCAGUAAUUAAACCUUCAUGAAUUAAUUUUUGUUCUUUCAUUCCAGGUAACCCCCUUCCUUGAAGUAUCAACUAAUAGAGGAUAAGCGGUAUUAGCCAACUUGUCUCUCCUCUCUUUUUCAUAAAAUAAAUAGGAAGUUACGGAUAAAAUUCGUAUACCAGAAGGAUCACCAUAUAUAACAUAAAAUCUCUCCUCCAAUUCCUUCUCGUCGAGCCUCUCGAUCUGUCAUUAUACCUCGAGAAGUAGAAAGAAUUACAACCCCCAUUCCACCUGAAAUCCUAGGAAUUCGUUGAUAGUUGGAAUAGAUUCGUAGACCGGAUCUGCUUAUACGUUUUAAAGUCUUUCUAUAUGUCCCUUUCCUAUUCCUUUUAUGUCGCAAGGUUAAAACCAGGAAAUUUUUGUUGUUUUCCCGAUGUUUCCUAACGUUUUCAAUAAAACCUUCUUGUAGAAUUAUUUUAACAAUGUUUUCGGUUAUAUUGGUAGAUGCUAUUCGAACCAUUCUUUUUUUAUCCAUGUCGGCAUUUCUUAUACAAGUUAUUAUAUUGGCAAUAGUGUCCCUACCCAUGACGAACUAUAAUUAUUAGUAUCUCCUGACUUUGAUAUGAUCAACAUGUUCCUUAUUUCUUUAUUUUUUAUGAAAUGGAAAUGAAAGGUAUAUGCGUGAGACACAAUCCACUAAUUGAUUGAUCCGUUUUAGAUACUAUACCAUUGUCUCAUCUACUAUCAUUAGAAUACCUCGGGAGCUAAUGAUACUAUCUUAGUGAAAUUCAAAUGUCUCAAUUCCCCAGCGAUCGAACCAAAGACUCGAGUUCCUUUUGGAUUUCCCUCUGGAUCAAUAACAACUGCUGCAUUGUCAUCAUAUCGUAUUAUUAUACCGUUGUCACGUUUGAGUUCUUUACAUGUACGUACAAUUACAGCUCUGAUCACUUCUGAUCUUUCCAGGGGCAUAUUGGGUACUGCUUCUUUGAUUACAGCAACAAUAACGUCACCAAUAUGAGCAUAUCGGGGGUUACUAGCUCCUACGAUUCGAAUACACAUCAAUUCUCGAGCCCCGCUGUUGUCCGCUACAUUCAAAUAGGUUUGAGCUUGAAUCAUUUUUUUUUUUUUUGUUUUUGCAAAGUACGGGGGGAGAGAAAUAAAUAUUUUCUGUCCAGAAAGAAAUAAACCAGCGAUUCUAUUUUUCAUCACACAUAUCUCUUAGGUUCCACACCCCUAUUUCGCACUAAUGAAUUGAGUUCGUAUAGGCAUUUUGCACGCGGCUAUUUCCAUAGCUGCUCUGGCGACAGUUUCUGGCACUCCGCCCAUUUCAUGAAGUAUUCGACCCGGUUUAAUUACAGAAACCCAAUAUUCAGGAGAUCCCUUUCCCGAACCCAUACGUGUUUCCGCGGGUCUUACUGUAAUGGGUUUGUCGGGGAAUACGCGUACCCAUAUUUUUCCGCCGCGACGAGCGUAUCGUGUCAUUGCUCGUCUACCCGCUUCUAUUUGUCUAGAUGUGAUCCAAGCAGGUUCAAGUGCCUGAAGAGCGUAUCUACCGAAACAAAUAUGAUUGCCCCGAGAAGAUACUCCCUUCAUUCUUCCUCUAUGUUGUUUACGGAAUCUGGUUCUUUUAGGGUUAUAGUUGAUGGUAGUGCUUUAAUCCCAUCUCUACUGCAGAACCGGACAUGAGAGUUUUUUCUCAUCCAGCUCCUUGCGAAUUAAACGAUUCAAUCUAUAUAUACAUGUAUUUAAUGAAUAAUACAUUGAAUCAUCGGAUUCAUUCAGAUUAAAUUUCUAACGUACGAAUUAGAUUCAGAUAUCUGUUCUAUUUCUAUAUAGAUAGAAUAAUAGAAUAUAGAAUUCUAAAAAGGAUUCUAUUCUAAAAGAUAACAUUAUCUAUAGAUAUACGUACUUCUAAUUUCAUUUAAUUCUUAUAUUAACUUAGAAUUUAAUUUUUAUAUUAUUAAGUAUAAGAAAAUAGAAUUCUUAUAAUUAAUAAAGAAAGAAUCCUACCGAAUCCGAAUUGUCCAACAUUUUCCAAUCCAACAAGGAUUUCGCGGGCGAAUAUUUACUCUUUCAAUAUCUGCUUCAUUCAUAGGUUCAGGUCAACCUAUGACCUCUCAGAAAAAAGAAAAGGGUUCUUGGUUUGUUCCGCCAUCCCAUCCAAUGAAUCAGUAGGAUUCGUUUUCAAUAGAAUCUUAUGCAGUCACUGGUUCCGUCGUUCCCAUAGCUUCUCCAUUAAUGUCUAGGCCUUGCCUUUGCAAUGGAGCUUUCAAUUUGUUCCCGAGUCAAUCUUCUCAGUCUGUAUCAACUCAAUGCUCUUUAUUAUUUCUCCUAGGAACCAAAUUAAUCUAAUUAUUUUAUUUAAAUUUUUAAUAUUUUUAUCGACCAAUCGGUAUUGAUGCUUUGUCACACUGCCUUUCUUUAUGUGAGAUGAUUCAUAGACCAUACAUAUUGGAAUAAUAUAUCGUUCUUCUUCUCUUUCUCUCAUUCUUCCUUUUAUCCAUAUCCCUCUAUUUUCGUUUAACAAUGCACAAUCAAUAGUGAUUUAUUUGUACAUAGAAAGGAUUUCCAUUGCUGCAACUAUAAAAUAGAUAAUCAUAUAGUGAAUGAAUGCUUCUUUGGAUCUUAAGAAUACGAAGCAAUGAGUUGGUUAUUAGUUCAUACUAGGAGUCGGUCUUUCUAUAUUCCAUAAUUUUAUUUUAGUCCCAACUCCAAAAAAAACCGGAUCUCAACGAGUCACACACUAAGCAUUGCAAUUUUACCAAAUGGUUAAUCAAAUCUUUAUUCAGCCAUAUAGAAUUGAAUUCAUCAUUUUUGGAUGAAGGCAAAGGAGUGAAAUAGUUUUUCGUUUUUGUCCCUAUCCGCAAAAUAGAAAGGACCUUUUAUUCUUCAUCUACAAAUAUCCAAAUUUUGAUCCCUAAUACCCCGUAGAUAGUUUGAACCAUAUAAGAACAAUAAUCAAUUUUAGCUCGAAUAGUGUGUAGGGGAACCCUGCCUUCUCUGAUCCAUUCGACACGGGCAAUCUCUUUUCCGUUCAGACGCCCCGCAAUUUGUACCCGAAUCCCCUUUGUAUUUGCUUGUUCAGCUAAUUCAAUAGCUUUUUUCAUUGCUUUUCGAAAUGAAACUCUAUUUUUUAAUUGCAGAGCAAUAUAUUCUGCAAGAAUAUUAGGUUGUUCAUAGGGUCUUGCAAUUCUUGUGAUAGUAAUGUUGAGUCUCCGGUUCAUAGAAUUUAACUUUUUUUGUACAUCUGUUCGUAAUUCUUCGAUUCCUCGGGUUGGGCCCUCAAUUAACAAAUUGGAGGACCCAAUAUAGAUUGUGACCUGGAUGAGAUCGAUUCUUUUUUGAAUCCCUAGACGUGCAAUUCCUUGGAACCCUGAGGAUAUUCUCAUGUGUUUUUGUACAUAAUUCUUGAUACAAUCCCGUAUUUUUUCAUCUUCUUGUAGAUUCCUCGAAUAAUCCUUUGGUUGUGCGAACCAAAGGGAACGAUGACUUUGGGUUGUGCCAAGUCUGAAACCAAGUGGAUUUAUUUUCUGUCCCAUAUCUAUACUAUAUAAUUUUCUAUUAUUUAUUUCUUAUUUUAUAUAUAUAUGAAUUUUAUUUCAUUUUAUUUAAUUUCAGUAUUCAGUUAAGGUAAGAUUUAUUUUUGUAAGGCUUGAUCUGUCAAAUUCAAACUACAAGGGGACUCUUUUUUCUUUCCUUUAAAACAAUAGUUAUAUGACAAGUGGGUCUUUUUAUCGGAUAACUGCGUCCCCUAGCUUUAGGUUUGAACUUUUUCAUCAUGGCACCUCCAUGGACUUCCGCUUUACUAAUGAAUGAAUCAGCUUCGUUCAAACCCAUAUUGUGACUAGCAUUUGCCGCUGCAGAGUAAACCAAUUUGAAAACGGGAUAACAUACUCGAUACGGCAUGAGUUCUAGUAUCAUAAGUGUUUGUUCAUAAGAGCAACCGCGAAUCUGAUCAAUAACUCUUCGCGCUUUGUGAGGGGACAUACAUAUAUGUUUAGCUAAUGCUCGUAUUUCUGUACCUGAGAUUUUAUUUAUCAUAAUUUUUUACCUCCUGAAUGAUGAGUGCCCAAUUAACGACGAAAUUUACUAUCGUUUCUCGCAUGUCCCUGGAAAGUAAGAGUAGGUGCAAAUUCUCCCAAUUUGUGACCUACCAUACGAUCUGUUACAUAAACAGGUAAAUGCUCUUUUCCAUUAUGAAUAGCAAUUGUAUGACCAAUCAUAGUGGGUAUAAUGGUAGAUGCCCGGGACCAAGUUACUAUAAUUUCUUUUUCCUCCCUCGUGUUAAGCUUAUGAAUUUUUAAUAAUAAAUUAUUAGCUACAAAAGGAUUUUUUUUAAGUGAACGUGACAUAGUGAAGAACUCCUCCUUUUCGUUUUUUCUUUUUUUAUGUCGUUCGCCCGACUUGUUCUAUUUACUUACGACGACGAAGAAUGAAACUAUCACUAUAUUUCUUCUUUUUCCUACUUCUUCUUCCAAGCGCGGGAUAACCCCAAGGGGUUGUGGGUUUUUUUCUACCAAUUGGGGCCCUCCCUUCACCACCCCCAUGGGGAUGGUCUACAGGGUUCAUAACUACUCCUCUUACUACAGGACGCUUACCUAGCCAACAUUUAGAUCCGGCUCUACCCAAAAUUUUCUGGUUCACCCCAACAUUACCCACUUGUCCGACUGUUGCUGAGCAGUUUUUGGAUAUCAAACGAACCUCCCCAGAUGGUAAUCUUAAUGUGGCCGAUUUACCCUCUUUUGCAAUCAGUUUCGCUACAGCACCUGCUGCUCUAGCUAAUUGUCCACCCUUUCCAAGUGUUAUUUCUAUAUUAUGUAUGGCCGUGCCUAAGGGCAUAUCGGUUGAAGUAGAUUCUUCUUUUUGAUCAAUAAAAACCCCUUCCCAAACUGUACAAGCUUCUUCCAAAGCAUACGGCUUUCUGGAUGUAUAUGAUGAUAUCUAGACAGGUGGAUCUUAUAUGAAUCGUAUGAUGAAGUACCACACGAGUAGAUAUAUAGGAAUCCAAAUCUGUCGAAUCACUCAUCCUACGAUUUUAUACAUCCUAGGUCUCCCCAUUCCGUCAUCUGGCUUAUGUUCUUCAUGUAGCACUCAGACCGAAUGACUCUAUGAAAUUACGUCGACACUUCCACAUAUUACGGGUAACGUAGGAGACAUCUCUUCCCCCGGGGGAUCUUUAGAAUUACCAUUGCUUAGCUUUCAAUUUGCCUCUGACCAUCAAAUGAAAUGUGAAUAACCCGUCCCCCUCUCUUUGAAACAAGGGGCGCUUCCGGUUCUGUCCGUGCUUCAAACAAUUUAGUCUUCUCCAUAUUACCAUAUCUCUAGAGUCAAUCAUUUUAUAUGAGGAACCACUGAACUCAAUCACCUGCUGCCGUUACUCUUCAGUUUUCUGUUGAGGUCUAUCCCGCUCAAAUUGGAUCAGUGAUCGAUUUCUAGGUUUCGUCGUAAACCUAAUUGGUUACUUCCAAUUACGUAAAUCAAUGGUUCAAACCGCACUCAAAGGUAGGGCAUUUCCCAUUGAUAUAGGAACUUCUGUACCAGAAACAAUGGUAUCUCCAAUUAUAGCCCCUCUGGGAUGUAAAAUAUAUCUCUUCUCACCAU
rnacentral:lncRNA from 1 species